rnacentral:lncRNA from 1 species
GCAAUAGCAUGGAGAGCUUGGUUUCAUCUUCUUGGUUCCGCUCUGCUCCACUACCAUCUCCAUCUUACAACGGUAUAUUUUCUAGUCUUAAGAAGUUCUUUUGCUCUGGAUGUAGUAGUAUGAAGAAGUUGUUCCCUCUUGUCCUGCUGCCAAACCUUGUAAAAUUAGAAGAGAUUACAGUUACAAAAUGUGAGAAGAUGGAGGAGAUAAUAGGUGGAACAAGAUCAGACGAAGAAGGGGUUAUGGGUGAAGAAAGCAGCAGCAGCAGCAUCACCGAUCUCAAACUCACAAAAUUAAGUUCUCUAACAUUGAUUGAAUUACCAGAACUGGAAAGCAUUUGUAGUGCAAAACUGAUUUGCGAUUCUCUCAAAGAGAUUGCAGUUUAUAAUUGUAAGAAGCUGAAAAGGAUGCCAAUUUGUCUUCCGUUGCUUGAAAAUGGCCAGCCAUCUCCUCCCCCUUCUCUUAGAAAAAUUGAGGUAUAUCCAGAAGAAUGGUGGGAGUCAGUAGUGGAGUGGGAGCAUCCUAACGCUAAGGAUGUCCUUCGUCCCAUUGUACAGUUCUAGUAGGAUGAGUGACGACACUUACUGAGUAAGCAUUAUUGUUUUAAUUGGAUUAAGCUUAAGCUAUUAAUGACUGAUGUGUUUAUUAUAUGACUGAUGUGUUUGACAUUUAUUUAGAGAGUAAAACAUCCUAACGCAUGCGAUGUCAUCCGUCCCUUUGUGGAGUUUUCAUUCGUAAGCAUUCAUGUGAAACUCUUGUAAUUAAAAGUAGCUCGCUCAUAUUAAAAUCAAAUUUGCAGUCAAUCAAAAAUUUAAGGGAUUGAAUAUUUAUAACUUGAAAAGCAUGAGGACCAAAAUGAACUUUUCAUGCUAAUCUUUAAAUUACCACCCAUUUUAUCCAUUUCUUUUAAUUUGAUUCUUUUUCUUUCAAUCUUAUAUGGGCUCAACAAAUUUAAAGUAAUUGUGUUUAAAUUUAGUGAGUACAUUUCCUAUAACAAUGCAAGCGCAUGGAUAAGUGUUUUGGUUCUGCAUUGUAUAUGCGACGACGCAUUGAAUUUCCUGUAAUAAUUAGAAUAUAAUAGUUUUUAACCGCAUUUUACUACUUAAGUAAACACCAUUUAACAAUAAUAUAAAUUAUUUGUAAUUAAUAAAAGGGACUGGGUCAAUUUGGUCCAGAGAAAGAGCCCAAAUAAAAAACAAUAAAAGCCCAGGCCCAUAAACAUUUGACCCAGGUAAGAUCUAUAGUGACAGUGGUUGAUAAAAAACCAAAAACCACAUUAACGUAGUUGGAAGUUACGGCAAUUCGUCUGCCAUAGCCACAUUAUUUUUUAUAUUUAGAAAUUUUUGAAUGUUGAUUUAAAAAAAUAUCAAUAAUAUGAGAUUUGGUAUCAUAAUAUUAAUAAAGUAUUUUUUAUUUAGAAAUGUAUUAAAAUAAUAUAUUUUUUAUUUUUUAAAAUUUAUUUUUUACAUCAAUAUAUUAAAAUGAUGUUAAAAUAUAAUAAAAAUUAAAUUUUUUAAAAAAUAAUUUUUAAAAAAAUUGCCAAACAUGCUAUUUAUGAAGCAAGUUUGAGUUUGUACUUGAGGUUUCUUUUUCUCUGUCCUUUCUCUUCACGCUUAACUUCUAAACAAAGCAUUUCUCAUUCAUCCGCUCUUAUUCAGUUAGCAAUUUACAGGCCCAGGAAAAACUUAAAAUCAGAGAAUAUUAACUUUCAGAUGAUUAAUUAAAUGAAAACGUAAAUAAGAGCUGAAAUUCCAUGAUCUUCCCAUUUUCUCUGAUUAAUUUUAUCAAAGGGGAAUAGGGUGCAUGCAGUCCCCAUAAUUACUGCUUAAUGCACGUGAAGCUGGUCCCCGUAGCCUCUCUCUUUAUGGAGCUUAUCGAUCCCCAUCUGCCUUCGUCAACCAUUACGUUUAUGUCCUUCUUUUUCUUAUGGUCCAAUCAAGAAAGCAAGUGGUUGUGCAGCAUGUCUUCUUCAUGAUCAUAAUAAGAUAAGAACGAUUAAUCACGAGGACUCAUAUUACAUGCAGUAAUUAUCAAUUCAAAGGGGAAUGCCGUGGCUAUAAAUGAGGGUUUCUCUUCCUUCUAGUCUCUUCGAGGUGGGAAGACUAGUAAGAGAGUUUCCUGGUUGAAUAGAAGGCUCACUCUUUCAAUGGCAAAGGGAUAUGAUCAUGUGCUAGUUUUUAUAUGAAUAUGUACGUACAAGUAACAAUUUGGCAGCAGAAAAAUACAGAGAUCAACAUGCUUGGUAAAGGCCAAGUUUAUAGAAUGGGCUAGCUACCUGCCUGGGCUUGUAGGCACAGUAGUUGCAAGUGAUGAAGUGAAUGAGCAGAUCAAUCCACUUAACCACAACCACCUCAAUGCACAAAAUGGCUAACAAUCCUUAAUAUUAAUUGAUACGCACUUACGCUUUAUGCAUUGUUUAUGCCAAGGAUACACAUGAAGAAGAUAAGAGCGAUUAAUCAUUGAAGGAAAUGAUUUUUCAGGACCCAUUCCACUGAUAUUAAUCAUAGUAAGUUUAUGGCUUUUCUUCAUUUCUUCAAAUAUCGUUUUUCAUAUGUGCAUGUUCUUCAUCUUUUUAUCUAAAUUUUAUAUAUGGUGAAGAAUAAUACCGUCAGAAAACUCUCUAAGUUUGUAUUUCUUUGACACCUUUUAGGAGGAUGAAUGAUAAUAAUUUAUCAGGGAAGUUACCUGCUUUCUUCAGUAAAUAAACACAGGUUCAGAAUAUCUGAAUAUCUGUACCUUCUAGCAUUGCUUCCUUGACCAGACUAAGUGAUUAGUAACCAGACUAAGUGUUUUUAUAUGUGAAUUGAGCUUUUUCAAAAAAUGGUUAUCAAUGUUGCAAUGUUGUUUGGUUAUUAAUCUCAAUAAUUUUUUAUUGUGUAUAUGUGAAUUUAUAUGUGAUUUUAUUUUUAGGUUUUUUUUGUUAAAGAUAAUUUUUUUAUCCACUAGAUUCAAGAUUUAUUUCGAAAGAUGGUUAUUUCGAAAGUCUGAUUUAGGAAUCUGAAUCUCCCUAUGAUGGAUCAGAAUUGCAUAACAAUCGCCUUAUUACAUAUAUAUUUUCUUGCUAAAUAUAUUUAGAAAAAUCAUUAUUAGUUGUAAUAUUGGGAAUGAAUUAUAUUGAACUGAUUUACAUUUAUUUAUUUAUUGUAUUCAAAAAUAAUAAAAAAAUAUAUCACAGCAAUUCUGGAAACCAGGCACCAAGAAACCCCGCAUCCUCGAUGAUGAAGAAGGCGGUGUCGUUUUCUUUGCCCCCUUACUCUUCCGCCUCCUCCUCUUCCUCCAGGUUUGGAUAUGCAAGUAUUGGGAGUCAAAGGCAGAGAUUGAUUUUUAAGCUGAUGGGAAUACACUCACCUGAUGGAAAAUUCUAAGGAUGCAUUGGAGUCAGGACUUUUAAUUACUAGUAUUAUCCAAGGAUGAUUACCAAAGGAAAGGUUUUAAAUUCUGCCUUCCAUGGACUCUAGCCUCAGCAUUCCGAAUCUUACCAUCUGUUUUAAAUUAUGUGUUUGAGUAGCUUGUAAUCUUCAAUGAAUCGAAAUAUUCGAGUUGUGAAUAGUAAGGUUCUAACAACCAAUGGAAUUUCCAUUAGCUGUUGGGAUUUGUCAUUAUUGGGCAACCUACCCUAAGGAGUAGGGUUACCAUUUGUCAAUGAUAGUUGCACCCAUCAUUGACAAAUGUAUCAACCCAUGUGCAGCUGCUGUUGUUGAAGAAGAGAAGCCACCAUACUUGCCUAUUUAUAGGCAUACGUGAGAGAGCAAAAGUAGAAGAGGGUUGUGAGAAUGUGAAGAGAGUAGAGAGAAAGUGAGAGCUGCAAUGGCAGCAACCUUGCUGCCAUUGCAGCAGCUGCAAGUGCAGCAAAAGAGCUGGGAGUUGAGUUUGAGUGAAGUGAUCCUCCUCCUCCAUAUGUGUUGUAAUCAUUUCUCUAUAUAUCUCUAAUAAUAUGGACUCUCCCGUGGAUGUAGGCGGUUUUGCCGAACCACGUUAAAUAUUGUGUCCUAGUGUGCUUCCCCUCCGUUUGAGCAAUUAUCAGUACAUCCCCGGUCGGAUUUCCCCAACAACUGGUAUCAGAGCACAUGGUUUAAAGUGGUGUUUGAUUUUGCUCAAAAAUGAAAGUUGUCAAAAUUGUGUUUUGACCAUACCACUGUGUAGAGGAGGAAGAGACGAAGCCACUAGUGAAAACGGUGUCAAAAUCGGACGUCGGACAUGGCCGCACUCUCCAUCACUCUCCGGCAAGGUGUCUGCCCACGCGCGCAGACGCCCCCCACGCGUCUUCUUCGCCCGGAUGAGUUGACCCGACCCAUGUGACUGACCCGAAUAUGAAUGACAUCAGCAUGACGUAAAAGUGACGUCAGCGUGAAUAGUAGACAUGCCAGGGAUGACAUUAGCAUGAUGUAAUUGUGACAUCAUCAUGUACAGUAGCAUGGCCCAUAAUGACAUCAGCAUGAUGUAAUGGAGAUGUCAGCGUCCAGUCAGCAGACACGUCAGCACAGUGGGACCCACAUGCCACAUCACCAGCCGCGAGCUGAGCUGGGCCGAGCCGAGGGAGCCGAGCCUAAUUGGAGCCGAGCCGAGCCACGAGCCGAGGGAAAGGAUCCAGUGUAGCUGAUCCUACGUGCAACCGGAUCUGAGAUUGAAUCUGGGCCGUUCAUCAGGACAUAAUUGUUUUGAUCAAAGCUUAGCCGUCUGAAAUGCGAUUUGUAUGAUUUCAGACUUGUUUCCAGCUAAUUUGAUCGUUCUGGAUGCAAUGGUACGGUCCGAUCGUUGAAAUUUGAGACCGAAAGUGGUGGUGGUUAAUUAACAAAAGAGAUUGCCCGAUCAGGAGGCAUCUGAAGGUCGUUAUGGUGGUCGAUGGAGAUGAAGAAGAAGAAGACACACACAUUUGCCCAAUUAUGUGUGUUGAACUGCUAAGUGGUGGAAUUUUGAAAUUUGAUUUGCCUUGAAGGAAGGAAAAAUUGGGACACUCUGGACACCCGAUCAAGUGGACGAUUUGAGGUGAAGAGUGGAAAUUGACCAAGACCAAUCUUGAUGAAUCUAAGAACUGGUAGUCUCGCCAGAUGUUGAGAAAUCAUGUAUUAAACCAGUAUAUUCCAGAUCACUUGUAAAGGAAAGCCGCAACAAAGCUAGCAAAUGGUUGUAUAUACGGAAAGACAGUACGAUGGAUAGAUAUGGCCUAAGAAGUUCUGUCUAGGAGGUUGGGUUUUAAGCGGGACCAGUGUGACCCCUCCAAUCUUUCUUGGGAACUUGCUUAGUGGAAGGAUUAUCCAUACGGUACUAUUUUCGUAUAUAUAGCAGUUUGUAAUGAAACGGUUGAAGACUAGCAGGAUGACGGCACAAGGAAACAGUUGGGUUCCGUAUGUUCAAGGAUCUGAUGGAGUGGUGAUUUCUCCAAAGAAGUUAGAUUCGGUGACUGUGAUUUCUCGAAGGGAGAAUUGAUGAAGACCCUGAUAAUGGAAGAGAAAUACAGCAAGGGGAUAAAGAUUGGCACCCUAUUUUGAAUUGGACAGGUGUUGUGACAGGAUGAGCUGCUGUCAAACAUAAGCAAGGAAUAGGGAGAAAUCUGGAGAACAGAAAUUGCACGAGGGCACACGGAUAUUGUGCAGGGGUACCCGUAGGAUUCAAUGAGGUACUGUAAUGAGACACCAGGUGCAAGGAGAAGAAGUGUACCCAGAUGAAGCUCAGAGCAGAGACUGUUAAAGUUUGUACAACAGGAAGUCUCUUAUGCUCUUGAUGAAGACAACAGACGAAGACCUUUCCAAUGCAUGCAAGGAUGGAAAGAGAGCUGUUGCAGAGGCACCUAAUUGAGGGGGUGCUAACGCCUGUGAUAAAAGGCGACCGCCUAUGAUGAAAGGCGAAGACACCAAAGAGAGUUGGUGUAGGUGGAGCUGUCAAGCAGAAAGGCGUAGAAGUUCCAAACAUAGAAAUCGAGGUGGAGGAUUGCGAGGAGUAUACCGCAAGUUUCUCUUUCUAUGUAAUCAGUGGCAGUUAUCUCUCCCAUAGUGCACAUGGUGGUAGAGAACUUUUUUGGAGCCACUUUGAAGCAUCUCAGCUGAAGGAGGAUGCGACCGCCUAUGAAAGGCGAAGACACCUUGGAGAAGGUGUGAGGGCCAUGAUCGGAGCCCCAGUUCAGACCGCCCCAUGACAACGGGCGAAGACACCUUAGAGAAGGUGUAUGGGCCACAAUAGGAGCCCAAGUUCAGAACAACCCCAGAGCCAAUGUGAUGGCUGGAUAUGAGUGGAUAGAUGGAUAGCCAAUGAAGUGGCUAUGAUGAGUAUGGAGACAAAUGCAGGAUUGACUUUCAUGGAUAUUGCCCCCAUGCUAAAGAUCAAUGAGCUAGAAGACAUUUGCCUUGGACAAUAAGUGGAUGACUUGUGGAGCAUUAAGACGCGGCUGCUAUGAAGGAGCAGAGGGCAUGCGCAGGUUCCGGGAACUAGUUGACUCUUGUCAAGGUGGUGAGCUCGGUGAAGGCAUUGUAAUACUUAAAGUAUCAAGACAUAUAUGGAUCAACCUCUAAUGGGCUGCCCCUAUAGGUAAAGGUGGAAAGCUACCUGGACUCUUGAGACUAAAAGCGAGAGACUCACGGAGAAGUAAGGCGUGGUUCUUAGGGUGGAGCAGAGGGCAGGCGCAACUCCUGGAUGAGUAGACUCUUAGAAGAGUGGUGAGCUCGUGAUCAUAUUGAGAUACUCAGAUAAUGACUGUCGCACUUGGAAAUGAUAAUUUCCGUUUGAGGGGGUGUUGUAAGCCUUGGUGUGAGGCUUGAUGAAUCAUUCCGGACCGAGCAUGGUUGAUACGCUCGAAGGGGAAUGUUGUCCCAGAGACAAGCGUUAACACUCUUCAGAUGUGAAGUGGCAGACCAUCUGGUUGUAGUGAUCCUUUUGUGUGAGAAAAUGUGUGCUUUGGUGACUCUGGUGAUUGAAAGGUUUGGCGAGUACCGGUAAACUCGGCCACAGACGCUCUCGGAAUGGUAAGCUUGGAAGAGCUGCAAGAUGCAAGCCUGUGCUGAAGAAGCAAGAGGACAAUUGCCCAUAUAAAUGUCAAAGGGGGUGAUUGUUGGGAUUUGUCAUUAUUGGGCAACCUACCCUAAGGAGUAGGGUUACCAUUUGUCAAUGGUAGUUGCACCCAUCAUUGACAAAUGUAUCAACCCAUGUGCAGCUGCUGUUGUUGAAGAAGAGAAGCCACCAUACUUGCCUAUUUAUAGGCAUACGUGAGAGAGCAAAAGUAGAAGAGGGUUGUGAGAAUGUGAAGAGAGUAGAGAGAAAGUGAGAGCUGCAAUGGCAGCAGCCUUGCUGCCAUUGCAGCAGCUGCAAGUGCAGCAAAAGAGCUGGGAGUUGAGUUUGAGUGAAGUGAUCCUCCUCCUCCAUAUGUGUUGUAAUCCUUUCUCUAUAUAUCUCUAAUAAUAUGGACUCUCCCGUGGAUGUAGGCGGUUUUGCCGAACCACGUUAAAUAUUGUGUCCCAGUGUGCUUCCCCUCCGUUUGAGCAAUUAUUAGUACAUCCCCGGUCGGAUUUCCCCAACAUUAGCUUCCCUAAUUUUGAUUGCGUGAAUUUAACUAGCCUUUAUCUGAAAAUUUUGGGAGGUUUAGAAUUGAAUGAUAAGGAAGCACAGAUCAUGAGAAAGGUUUAAGAGAUUUGGUGAGGGAAAUUAGGGAAUCAAUAAGAAAUUAGGCUUAGAGGAAGACUAGCUAUUAAAGUCAUUGCAAUUUGCAAGCAACUUCAUGUUUUUUUACUCUAAAAAAUAAAACAGAGGUGCAAAUCCCUUGUGCUAUCUUUGUCCUGUAUGCAAUGAUUACUCCCAUGGAGACCACCAUGCAAAGUUUAAGUCACUUUCUUCUUUAUUUAUUCAACGAGUUCAUAUUACACUGCUUUAAGUCCUCGAGUCUAAUGAAUUAAUGAAGAUAGAAACUCCAAAGAAAAUCACUUGGCCAGAAAUAACAUACUUCAGUACUGGGGUCAGCAGCUAGCAUGGAUAAAACUAUCUCCUUCCUUGUUAGAGAGGGCUCUGACAUUGCUUCCCAUCUGGCACACUGUAACUUGCAGAUCCGUUUGGCUUUUGAGCUGUGGACUCCCCAUCACUUCAACUGAUUUGUUGUUUGUUUGACCACAAGAUAUUGAUUGUCUAGGGAAAUUCCAAGGACGCAUUGGGGUCGGAACUUUUAAUUGCCAGUAUUAUCCAAGGAUGAUUACAUGCUGCAUGCUUCUAAGACAAAUAAAAAAUUUAUCGGUUCAUUUAAUGUAUUAGUUCUAAGUCAUUCAACAUAUUGCUAGUUCGUGAUCAUUCCACUUUUCUUGUUCCUGCUGUUGUCCAUUAACUCUCGUAUUUCUUGACUUAUCUGUCAGUAAAAUGAUUAAUGUUUCUUUCAAUUUUGAUGCCUGCAUAACGUAUCAGGAUAAAUACAACAUUAGUAAUGCGAUCCAACCAUCAAAGAAUUCAUUGGAAGUUCCAGUUAAUCUAAUUACUAGGCUUAGGGCCAACUAAAAAGUUCAAAGAAGCUUUCAAUGGACUUCUUCAUAAGACAUGGGCUAAGGUGGACUUCAAGAGGAUUUGUAAUAAUAAAGAGCAAGCCUUGAUUAAUCUGAUUCAUGUUCAAGAGGGGCUUGUUGGUAGAACUAAGAUCAUUACACAAGGAUUGGGAGAAGAAGACUAGAUUCGGAUAGUUUGACCUUUUAUUACUCUUUUGGUCAUAACUGGAGCUACAUAUAUAUUUUUUAUGUGAUUCAAGUUGUUCUGGAAACUAGACUUCCAUACAUUUCCAACGGUAUUGUCACGAAUCGAAUUCCGGGUCCAUGACCGGCAACACAAGAGCGGUGUCAAAAGGACACCCCACCUACGCUAAGCCUCAAAACAGACAUAUCAAAAGAACUAAAAAAAUACGCAGUUGAGGUGCGCGCAAGCUGGCCCGGACACCCACGUUAAACUAAAAAAAAAGAAAAGAAAAAAAAAGAACAAUUUAUUCAAAAAAACACAGCAUUUCAUAAUCUUCAAAAAUAUUAUAUUAUUCAAAACUGAUAAAACCAAAAGAUAGUUUAAAACUCCUCAUCAGUAAUUAAAACAAAAAUAAUAAUCCAUAAUACUCAUUACAUUGUCAAAAUCCAAACUUAAUUAAAACAAGGCAAUAGUGGAGCGUCUAAGACAUCAAAUCAAAACUAAAAGGAAAGCCUCGAAAAAUAAGCAAGGCAUACCAACAUAAAACUGAAGAAGUAGGAACACUCAACAAAGUUCACCUGCUAUCAGAAACUAAGAACUUGAAAUAAUAUUAAGAAUGAGGGGUGGGUUCAACCAACUCAGUGAGGAAAUAAUAUUUAAUAUAUAUUUUAGAUAUUAAUAGUUUGCAAGAUGAUUUAUCUUGAUAUACAUAUACAUAUACAUAUACAUACUAAACAUAUUAUCAUAACGUAGUGAAAUACAUGUCAGAGAUCAGAUGACACCCGAAGGUGACCAAAUGACACCCGAACGUGACCUGAUGACACCCGAAGGUGACCACUAUGGGAUGAUCAGUCACCACAGGCUGAUGUCUCUCUCAACAGCUAGGUAUACAGAAUAUUAUGUGCACAUAGACUAACUACUCUCCAUUAGCAUGGAGUUACUGACAAGUCCCAUAUCAAGGCAUAAUAGAUGUCAUAACCCAAUUUUUGACCUAUUUUAAUUAUUAUUAUUAUUUUAUUUAUUGAAAAAAAUUGAUGAUGGAAAAAAAUAAUAAUAAUGAUAGAAAAAUAAGUCAAAUGAAAUAAAUGAAGAAUGAAUUAAAAUUUGGGUUAAGGGCAACAUGAUUGGAAGUUUUGGGGUUUAAUUAAACCUUGGAAAUUAAUCUAAUUAAUCCAAUCAAGGGUUUAAUUGGAGAAUUAAUAAAGUUUUGAGACUUAAUUAAAUUUGGAAUUAAUUUAAUUAAUCCAAUUAAGGGUUUAAUUGGAGAAUUGAUAAGUUUUGAGACUUAAUUGAGCUUAGAAUUAAUUUAAUUAAUCCAAUUAAGGGUUUAAUUGGAGAAUUGAUAAGUUUUGAGACUUAACUGGACUUGAAUUUAAUUUAAUUAAUGAAAUCAGGGACUUAAUUGAAGAAUUACCAAAUUUUGGGGUUAAUUGGGGGCAAAAUUGUAAGAAAUUAAAACCCAAGGACUGGACUGCAAAAAUUCAAAACGUCAAGGAUCAAAACGCAAAUGGCCAUUAACAUUAACACUGUUCAUCUUCUUCACCUGAAAAAAGAAGAAAAACGGAUGCCUUUAUUGCAUUAAAAUCCAUGCGAUUACAUGGCAUUCUCUGGUUAUAAAAACCAGAUAAGGAGAACCGGCCAGGGGAGGAAGAAAAAGGAAGAAAAACUAGGGACUGAAAAGGGGAGAGUGCACUGGACAGGGGGAGAGGAGGAACAGAAAAAAAAAAAAAGCCAGAGGCUGCGCAGAGAGAGACGGAGAGAAAAAAAACCAGGUCGGAGAGACGAAAAAACCGAGGAGACAGAGGACGAACAAGCAGAAAAACCAGAGGAGAAAACACGAAAAAAAACCAUUAGAGAGAGAGGAAAGCCCAGGAAAUAAACACACAGGGAGAACAAGAGAACAACCCAGAAGGGCGAACCAGAAUUGCAGGACUGUUAUUCGCCUGUUUCUUCUCAAAGAAACAGAGGAACGCGUAGAACCAAAGAAGACAGGGACACGAAAAAGCCAGGGGGGAACACAGAGGAUAGAGGAACGAAAAAAAGAACAAAGGGGUAAUUGAAACAGAAAGAACACAGGAGCAUACAAGAGAAACAGACCGAGAGAGAGUAGAGAGAGUUUGAAAAACAGAGCACGGGGAGAAUUUUUCUGUCGAGAGCAGAAGAAACAGAGGGCAAGAAGGCAGAGGUGGAAGGAGGAAUCCCAGUUUCCUAUCAACGGACGCCAUCACCGAUCUUCGCCCAAGACACUAACACUCCGGCGAAGCAACCUGCAGCAAGGUAGGCCUUCUCUGUUUCUUCGUUUUGUUUCGAAAAUUUCAGUGCAUUUAGCACUGUGCGAAGGUAAUUAAUUACCCUCGCACAGCGCCAUGCACGCAUGAAUCUAGUUCAUGCGUGCUGUGGCCCAGCCGGGUCACUGGUUUGGGCCAGUGACCGGGCUGGGCUGGCUGGGUCUAGCCCAGCCCAUGUGGGCUGAGUUGGACCCGGCCCCAAAAAUAAUAAAAAAUAUAAAAAAAUAUAAAAAAUAGAAAAAAUAGAAAAAUAUGUGUAUGCAUGAAUGAAAAUAAUAUAAAUUUACUGGUUUAUUCACCCACGCCAGAGUCGGGAAUAAAAUACUAGUUUAAGUUUAUAUUAUUUUUAUUCGUUAUAUUUUUUAUUUAGCAAAAAACAUAUACGUGCAUGUAUUUAUUUAUUUACUGAUGCCAGAGUCAGGAAUAUAAAUACUGAUUUAAUUAUUCUCUUUGUUUUUUUUAUUAUUAUUUUAACUACAUAAAAAAAAAUAUGUGAAUGCGUAAAUUUAGUUUAUUUGUUUAUUCACUAGCGUUAGAGUCAGGAAUAAAAAAAAUAUUAAUCUGAAUUUAUUUUUGGUGGCUAUGAAUUUUUACCAACGCCAGAGUUGGAAUUAUUUGUAGUAGAAUUUUUACCAACGCCAGAGUUGGAAUUAUUCGGGUGGAAUUUUUACCAACGCCAGAGUUGGAAUUAUUCGCGAUCGAAUAUUCACUGGCGCUAGAGUCAGGAAUAUUAUAAACAAAUCAUCAUAGCAUAAGCGAAUAAAUGUUUAGCAAUUUAAGACAAAACCAGCAAUGCAGUCUGCCUUAGGCAGAACGUUUAAGGGGUGAUAAUAUCUUCCCUUUUACGUAACCAGUCCCGUACCAUAGAAUCUCUGUUGACCAGUUAGGGUUCCUAGUGACCAUAAUACUAGGUGGCGACUCCUUAAACAAGACAUUUUUCCUAAAAGAACAAGAUGCCAGAAAUCUGUUCCUUUUCCUAAUCAGAAAUAUUUUGUGGGACCGCCGCGAUGUCGGGUGCGACAAUAGAUAUUUACAGAAUCAUCAAAGAAACGUAUAUCAUAUCAAAUAGAAUUUAGUUCGACAGAUUACGAGUGCAAAUUCAAGAAUAAAUGAGUACUCGAAAAAUAAAGCAAUAUAUAUAAAUAUUCAAGAAAUUUACUGGUUGUACUCACAUAUAAUCAACAUACAUGUUUAUUUAUAUUAUAUACAUAUUAAAGAUUAUCCACUCACCCGGAAGAAUAUAGAUUAAAAGGAAUAUCAGAUGAAAGACCCGAAAAACCUAUUAAGGAUCGUUAGGAGAACCUACAAUAAAUAUAUAAAAUAUACUCAAAAGCAACUCAAAACAACACAAAUAAAAUAUUCCAAUGCAUAAAAGAAAACCACGCUUAGUCUCCUAUGUUUAGGGACUAAAACGACAAUUAUCCAAAACAGGGACCAAAAUGUAAUUUUACCAAAACUGGACCAAACUGUAAAUACAUAACCAUACUGAAAUUUCACCCAUAAACCAUCCUUAAUUCUGUCUAGAAUGAACCAGGGACCUAACUGUAAUUUUUAAAAAGUUUAGGGACUAAAAUGUAAAUUCCCAAAAUUGAGGGACCAAACUAAAAAUAUUCCAAAUCAAUUAUCAAGAUGAGAUUCAUCAUCAUUAACCUUAUAAUAACACUAUCCAGAAUCUCAAAAUACAUUUAGGGGUCAAAUUGUAAUUCUUCUGAAGUUUAGGGACUAAACUGAAAUUUUCAUCAAUCAAGGACCUAAAUAAAAUUUGGUCAUCUUCAACCUCAAGACCAUUCUGUACAGAUUUUACAGCAAGGUAAAAAUGAAUUUCUUAACCCAUAAAAAUUAAUUUAAACAAAUCAACUCAUAAAUCCUUAUUUUCAACAACAUACUAAUUAAUCACCUAACAUUAAACCCUUAAUAAUCAUAAAUCAAUCUUAACAAUAUAAACUUCCAAUCCUUAUAAACCCUAAUCUCUUCUUUAAUCAUUCCUUAAACAACUAUAAUCGAAAGUAAUAUGAAAGAGAAUCACUUACUUGCUACUUCCACCUUUCUUGAAUCGAAAAUUCAAGAUCAAAAACUAAAAUCUUAGGUUUGAGGAGGGGAGGGUCACAACGGCUACAAGAAUUAGAAGAGAGGAAAGUAAUUCUCUUGCAACUUUUCCUUAAAUACCUAGGUUAACUUAGGUUGGGUUUGGGCUAACAUGGGCUUAGGUUUGGGUCAAAAUAUUGGGUCUUACAGGUAUAUAGCACGCCUUCUAAUUCAUUAAGACGAGAGAGAACCAUCUGUUUUAAGUUGAACUUUUGUUGCUGCUCCCAGACAGAAUGCAGAAACAACAAACUUGUCUUAUUUAAUUAUUUGGGCUAUCAAACUUUAUUUAUUUUGAGAGAAGACAUUUUAUUUAGGUCUUAGACUUUUUUAUUUUGUUUAUUUUAAUUAGUUUGGGCUAGUUUUAACCUGGGUUGAUUAUUAUUUAAAUUAGGCUUAUGUGAGACCCAUUAGGAAAACUAGGGUUUUGGCUUGGAGUUUAAAUACUCUUUAGGAAUAAUUUUAGGGCAGACUUGUGAUUAUAUUUUCAGCAUUGUAGCCGACUUUUUAGUUGCUUAAUCUUGGUUUUUGAUUGAACCUGCAUCUCUUCAAAGAAUUGACCAUUCUUUGUUGUGAAUUUAUACUUUCUUUGCUCGUCUCCAGAUGUAAGCGUUGUAAUCGAGUUGGUUUAUAGUAUUGCUGUCUUGGAGCAAGUCUUCCAUUGUAAUAAGCUCAUUCAAAUCUCAACAAACUUGGAUUAGAUUAAUUUUGAAGUCGCGAAUUCCAUUAAAUUCCGUUAAGGUUCGUAUCACUUAGUAUUGUUUGUGGCUGACAAGGGUCUGAAAAAGCCUCUCUAUACCUCUCCACGUUUGAACAAGGGAGAAGUUCUAUAUUUAGAAACACAUUCAUGCAGGUACUCCCUCUUUUUUUUCUUUCUUUUUUUUCUUUUGUGCUUUCUAACUUGAGAAAAUAUGUUAAAAAUAAUAUAAAUCAUAAAAACACUAAAUCUAUAUAAGUUUUUGUACAUCACAAACUGAUUUUGGAGCUUAAAAAUAUUCCCUUGUGAAAUAAAUUAAAUAAAUAUGAAGUUUCAGUUUUCUUCAUUGUCACGACCCGAAUCCCGGAUCCAUGAUCGGCACAUAGGCAAGGUUCCCCUCCAAGGUUCCAUACCUAUGCGAACCCAAACUUAUCCUAACUCAAUCAGAGUUCAACAUAGCAUUUACAUCAAAAUCAACUUCAUAAUAUAAUUCGAUUGUCUUAAUACAAGAGUUCAUAUAAAUUCAGAGUUUUGAAGCACUAACUAGACAUAAAGAGAAAAAGGUACAAUUUACAACCAAAAGAGCAGGUUCUGAAGGUCUAACAAAAUGACCUGCUAUCAAGCUAUAAGCUUGAAAAUGUUAAAUAAUGAGAUGGUGAGUUCAACAACUCAGUGAGUAGAUAACGCUCAAUACACACACACGAGGUAAUACAACAAUGAGAAAUAUAUAUACAAGUAUGGCUUUAGGUUCUUAUGGAAAUGUUUCUCAAAUUGGCCAUAACAAGAAGAUCAUAUAGUAAAACUCGUCAGAAAAUCAAAAUGCAAUGAGCAUGAGGCUCCGUACUUGGGAUGAUCAGUCCACACAGGUUGGUGACUCCCCCGACCAACUAGGGUUCAAAUACGAUGUGCACAAAGACUAACACUACCCUGUUAGCAUGGGUAUUCUGACUGGCAUACCAUAGGUUCAUAAUCAUAAUCAAACAGACAUAUUCAUAUCUCAAGACUCAACUCAUGACUUCAAUCAAAUGAGGAGCUAUCAAUUCAGAAUUCGAUUCAAAAUAUAUACUGGUUCAUAUCAAGAAUUCAGAUUCAAUAAUUCAUACCAAAAAAAAAAUAUUGAGUUACAAACAUUGUCUUUUGGUAUCAAUGAUUAGACUGGUUAUUCAUCAAAGAAAAAGUUGGAUUUGCAUUAUGAUCUAUGGGAAGAGAAUGCUUAUAUUUAAAGUUAACAUAGUUAUAUGUCAUUUCCUCUACAAAGACAACAAGAGAAGAAAAGUUGAUGAAUAGUUGAUGUUGAUCCUAGGUCCCUGAAACCCUCAAACACUUUUUGAGCCUGUGAAUUCCCUUUCUUUCAUAGCCAUGAACCAUAGCCUGCAUUACGUGCUUUUAAAAGCCCUUUUCGAUCAAGUAAGCAAUCUGAACCGAUAAAUGACGCUCUCAAAACUGGAAGAGCUUUUCUAUAAGGGUCGUGACUUCAUGAAUUAAGCUACUGGUUAUUAUGUAUGUUGAUAAAAUAAAUGCUAAGAAAAGAAACAAACUUUCUUGAUAAAGCCUAAUCAUCUUGUUUUUGAAAUUCAUAAAAACGUCACCUCAUCACAGACCAUCAAAAGAUAUACCCAAAAUCAGAGUUUAAAGUGGACACAAAGAACCAUGGGAAAGGCCAUUUUAAUCUUACAACGAGUUGAUUUCUGUUUUCAAAAUACAAGACAAUCAAAGGACUACAUUGAAUGACUUGUGUUGGGUCUUCGACCAAAAAGCUGAGUUUUAAAAGAUCUUUUUCAAAACUGACAUCACUCUGAUUUCAUUUCAACAAUUAGACUUGAAUAUACAUGACAUUGGAAGUAUGAGAUUUGAUUCCAGAACAAGAAAGAUUGUCGAACAAUGAAGAACAUCGAGCGAGUCUGCGAAAUAUUUGACAUGAAAUGACAUCAACUCUUCUCAAUACUCCUUGAAAAAUUGAGACACUUUGGGGGCAAUACAGUGGACCCUGAGAAGAAAAACAAGCAAUAUUUAGAUUAGCUGGGUGCAAUGAAAGAUGAUCAAAUGAUGAAUCAAUGCACUGAGGACAACGGUGUUUAAAGAAAUGCUAAUCAGCAGAACAAGCAUUCAGAUCAUUAUUGGGGGCAAUGUUAUUAAAAAACAUUCCAUGAUCUAGUGAACUCUAGCAUCAAUUGAGGGACAACCUCGUAUCUUCAUCUUGGGGUUACCCUUUGAAACAUGGCUAUGACAAAUGUUAUCGCAUCGUUGCAUUGGAAUGAAUGUCAUAAAGAUGCACACCACCAAGACUGACUGUGGGACCAUCUAUUCUGAAGCUCAAAUGCGCACUUCACUGUAUGAAUAUGGGUGAUAACAUGAACAUCAUUGAUGAUGUCGAGACAUUUCUUUCCACUAUCUGAUUUGACAAGCUGAGAGGAAUCCAUGAGAAAGAACAUUGAGCAUACAACGAUGAGUCUUUCACUGCAAGCUAUGAGAUGCAUGUCUGGAUGACUGGAUGAUUUCCAUGAAGACUGGUGAUAACAUAUACUUGAAGAAUAUUGUUUCAAUUGGAGGCAAGUUCAUGACUGGUUGACCAUCUUGAUGGGUGUUGGCAUGAUGCACACAACCAAUCAGAAGAUAAUUUUCAGAAGAAUCCAGGAGAGAAAAUCCUUCAUGAUGAAUCAAGCAACACCACACUUCGGGGCAGAGUCAAGCUUGAUAAACAACGAGAGCAGUAAUUGUCGUGGACAGCUUAGGAUGGGCACUGCACUUACAUCUGAGUGAUGGCUAUCACAUGAAUGGGCCAAUGCAUCAAAAGAACAAAUAAAGCUUUGGAAUGCAAACAAAGGCACCCUAUGACGAUGGAUCAUCAAAGGGGGGGACCUAUAUUUCACAUCAGGUAAGGAUGCAUGCAUGUCAUCUAACCUCAAAGCAUUACACAUACUUGUGAUUUGUUACAGAAAGAUCCUCAAUGAAGUCCAGCAAGAUUGUGGACAAAGAAAGAAUCAUUGAGUUGAGGAUGACAAAGAAUCGGUUUAGAUCCUGGAACAAGAAGAGAAUGAGAUGAACCUUGCUAGUAGGAGAAUCUCAAAGAAACAAGGAGAUUAACCCCGUCAUCAAGAGGAGUCUUCAAGUCAACCUGCAACCAGAAGGUGCCAAGUUUGUCAGCCUUGUCCUGUCAGGACUGCUCCAACCAAGUUUUUUUGCCAGGUAAGUCACAUUCUGUCUUUGGGUAGGUCACCGUAACAAUGAGACCAUUUUUUUGAAAAAAAACAUCAUUUUUCUGGGUAGGUCACCCAUCACAAUAAGACCAUCAUUUUUUCUGGGUAGGUCACCCAUUAUAAUGAGACCACACUUCACAUUCUUUCCAUUUGGGUAGGUCACCCAUCAUAAUGAGACCGCUUUCCAUAUUCUUUCCACCUGGGUAGGUCACCCAUAACAAUGAGACCACUUCACAUUUUUUCUAUCUUCCAUCUGGGUAGGUCACCCAUAACAAUGAGACCACUUCACAUUUUUUCUAUCUUCCAUCUGGGUAGGUCACCCAUAACAAUGAGACCACUCCAUAUUUUUUCUAUCUUCCAUCUGGGUAGGUCACCCAUUAUAAUGAGACCGCACCUCACAUUCUUUCCAUUUGGGUAGGUCACCCAUCAUAAUGAGACCGUUUUUCACAUUCUUUCCACCUGGGUAGGUCACCCAUUACAACGAGACCAUUUGUUACACACAUUUUUUAGUUUUGAUUUAAUGAGAUCGCCAGAUGGGAUCUCAUGUAGCUUUGGUUAAAGGGAAUCGCCAGAUGGGAUUUCAGGUUGACCAAGCUACACAUAUUUUUUUAAGUUCCAGUUGAAUGAGGUUGUCAGAUGGAAUCUCAUGUAGCUUUGGUUAAAGGGAAUCGCCAGAUGGGAUUUCAGGUUGACCGAGCUACCAUAUUUUUUAGUUCCACUUUAAUGAGGUCGCCAGAUGGGAUCUCAUGUAGCUUUGGUUAAAGGGAAUCGCCAAAUGGGAUUUCAGGUUGACCGAGCUACACAUAUUUUUUAGUUCCAAUUUAAUGAGGUCGCCAGAUGGGAUCUCAUGUAGCUUUGGUUAAAGGGAGUCGCCAGAUAGGAUUUCAGGCUGACCGAGCUACACAUAUUUUUUAGUUCCAAUUUAAUGAGGUCGCCAGAUGGGAUCUCAUGUAGCUUUGGUUAAAGGGAAUCGCCAGAUGGGAUUUCAGGUUGACCGAGCUACACACAUUUUUUUAGUUUUGGUUUAAUGAGGUCGCCAGAUGGGAUCUCAUGUUGGUUCUGGUUAAAGGGGAUCGCCGGAAGGGAUCUCAGGUUAGCCCAACCACACACAGGAUAUUGGUUCUGGUUAAAGGGGAUCGCCGGACGGGAUCUCAGGUUAGCCCAACCACACAAGAUUUUGGUUUUGGUUCAAGGAGAUCACCAGAUAGGAUCUCAAGUUAACGAAAAAAGAGAGAGAAAUAAAGAAAAAAAAGAAGAAAGAAAGAAGAGGAAGAAAAGAGAAGGAAGAGAGAACAGAGAAAAAAAAAAGCAAGGUCUUUAGAUGAGUGGAUAUUGAGCAAGUUAAGCAGACAGAAAGACAAGUUUUUCUUUACAAAGUUUACUAUGCAAAACAUUAAGGAGUUUUGCUUCGUAAGCAUUGUAAAGAGGGGGCAUCUGUUGCUAUCCAAUUUUUGACCCAUGUUUUGAUAAAUUUUCAGAAAAAUUCAAAAAUAGCAAAAAACAUUGAAAAUCCAAAAAAAUAUAUUUUUAAUACAUUUGCAUCGUUUUUAGCAUUUUUAGCAUCGUCUCAAAAGAAUUUAAAUUUUCAAAGAUAUUUGGAACGCGUUCAACUUUUAACGCAUUAUUUUUAAUCAUUGAUUUUCCUCAUUGAGUCGAUGUUGAUAUUGCUCGUUUUCAAAAAAAGACAAAAAAAUAAGAAAAAUCAAAAUUUACAAAAAAAAGAAGUGGAGGGACCAAAUUUUGAGGCCCAAGCAAUAUUUUACCUAUAAAUAGUAGCCUUCAACACACAGAAUGAGAGGGACAAUUUUGAAACAUCAAAAAAAUACCAAAAAAAAACCCUAACCCUAAACCUAUCCUUUUUUGAAGGAGCGGCGCGCCCCCCUUCCCUAGGAGCAAAAAACCAGAGAGAGCAGGGGCGGCCGCAAGCCUUCCUUCCCCUGUUUACAGAGGCCGACCGCCCCUCCCCUUUGAUUUUCUUCUUCCCCUCAGCAGCCGACAACAAACUCACAGCCCCCUCUCUUUCAAAACCAAACCGGAGCAGCCACUCCGUUCCCCCAAGCCACAAAUCUUCCCUCUCUCACCUGAAAAACCAGUCAAACCCCGAACCCGUCGCUACCCACAGAUCAUACCCACAUUCCCCCUGCCAAACGCCAUUUCCUUUCCUUCUCUUCCCCAGAUCGGUUCUUCCCUCUCAACACAGAACAACCUUUCCCUCAUCAACAGCCGCCUCCAGCAUUUCCUUCCCACAGCAGCCGACCACCACACCGACACCCACCGAUCUGUCCAUUCCUCUGCCUCAACACCGCCAGCAACCUCUCACAUUCUUGCAGCAGCUCCAGCGGCCGCAGGCUGCAGCAGCAAAGCCAAUUGAAGCCGGCGAUCAGACCACUUCGUUCUCCUCCAUCUCCGCCAAACCGGACACCAGCAGCUGCACAGCCGUCGACCGAAGCACAUCCACACUGCUGGCCGCUUGAAACAGGGAACAAAGGGGAAACAAAAACAAACCGAGCUGCGAAGAGAGAUGCAGAUCUGCAAAACAAAAGAGAAAAACAAAACUAAAAUCAACUGCUGUUUUGCGUUGUUUCCCUUGUUGCAGGUGUCGGUGACCUUCACCGCCGGCGUAGGAAGACAGAGAAGAGGAAGACGGCCCCGAUCCACCGGUUCUGCCACCUUCAGCGGCGGCGGCGCGUGAAUCCACACGCCGCCAGAGGCGGGGCACGUGGAACAACGCGCCGCCACUGUUGCUGCAGUGCAGAAGGCCUCCCCUGCAAUUUAUGGAGUGUUUAGGGGCUAUUUUGUAAAUUUAAAAUUGUGUAAUUUAAUUUUUGUUUAGUUUUGAAUUUGUAUUUCGAAGUGUAGAUGAAAAACAAACAAAAAGAAGAAAAAGAAAAGAAAACAAUAGUGAAAGUGUAUUAUGGGUGUGUUUGUUUGUUUUUUUUAAUGAAUGUUUUAUUUAUAUAUUUAUUUAUAAUAAAAUUGUAAAGAUUAAAGAAGAAUUUAAUAUUUUGAUUGGAUCACGGUCAAGAAUUAUUAACUUAUACGUAAGUUGUAUUUCUAAUAUCCGAUGAAAAGAUAAAAUUUUAAAACUUCUUUAACACGUCAAAAUCACGAAGCAGCUUACCUCAGGUAGGGUGUGUUAGGGGUGCUAAUACCUUCCCUAACCACAACCAGUCCCUUACCCGCGAAUCUCUGACAAGACCAGUACAUCCGGUUUUCUAGUAGCCUUCAAUAAAUUACUAGGUGGCGAUUCCAGUGAAUCAAUCAAAGCAAACAAUAAACGAGAAGAUGAAAAAGAUCGCCAGCUCGAUGCCGCGCGGAUUUUUCGACGUGCGACAACUAUAAUCGAAAGUAAUAUGAAAGAGAAUCACUUACUUGCUACUUCCACCUUUCUUGAACCGAAAAUUCAAGAUCAAAAACUAAAAUCUUAGGUUUGAGGAGGGGAGGGUCACGACGGCUACAAGAAUUAGAAGAGAGGAAAGUAAUUCUCUUGCAACUUUUUCUUAAAUACCUAGGUUAAUUUAGGUUGGGUUUGGGCUGACAUGGGCUUAGGUUUGGGCCAAAAUAUUGGGUCUUACAGGUAUAUAGCACGCCUUCUAAUUCAUUAAGACGAGAGAGAACCAUCUGUUUUAAGUUGAACUUUUGUUGCUGCUCCCAGACAGAAUGCAGAAACAACAAACUUGUCUUAUUUAAUUAUUUGGGCUAUCAAACUUUAUUUAUUUUGAGAGAAGACAUUUUAUUUAGGUCUUAGACUUUUUUAUUUUGUUUAUUUUAAUUAGUUUGGGCUAGUUUUAACCUGGGUUGAUUAUUAUUUAAAUUAGGCUUAUGUGAGACCCAUUAGGAAAACUAGGGUUUUGGCUUGGAGUUUAAAUAAUCUUUAGGAAUAAUUUUAGGGCAGACUUGUGAUUAUAUUUUCAGCAUUGUAGCCGACUUUUUAGUUGCUUAAUCUUGGUUUUUGAUUGAACCUGCAACUCUUCAAAGAAUUGACCAUUCUUUGUUGUGAAUUUAUACUUUCUUUGCUCGUCUCCAGAUGUAAGCGUUGUAAUCGAGUUGGUUUAUAGUAUUGCUGUCUUGGAGCAAGUCUUCCAUUGUAAUAAGCUCAUUCAAAUCUCAACAAACUUGGAUUAGAUUAAUUUUGAAGUCGUGAAUUCCAUUAAAUUCUGUUAGGGUUCGUAUCACUUAGUAUUGUUUGUGGCUGACAAGGGUCUGAAAAAGCCUCUCUAUACCUCUCCACGUUUGAACAAGGGAGAAGUUCUAUAUUUAGAAACACAUUCAUGCAGGUACUCCCUCUUUUUUUUCUUUUAUGCUUUCUAACUUGAGAAAAUAUGUUAAAAAUAAUAUAAAUCAUAAAAACACUAAAUCUAUAUAAGUUUUUGUACAUCACAAACUGAUUUUGGAGCUUAAAAAUAUUCCCUUGUGAAAUAAAUUAAAUAAAUAUGAAGUUUCAGUUUUCUUCAUUGUCACGACCCGAAUCCCGGAUCCAUGACCGGCACAUAGGCAAGGUUCCCCUCCAAGGUUCCAUACCUAUGCGAACCCAAACUUAUCCUAACUCAAUCAGAGUUCAACAUAGCAUUUACAUCAAAAUCAACUUCAUAAUAUAAUUCGAUUGUCUUAAUACAAGAGUUCAUAUAAAUUCAGAGUUUUGAAGCACUAACUAGACAUAAAGAGAAAAAGGUACAAUUUACAACCAAAAGAGCAGGUUCUGAAGGUCCAACAAAAUGACCUGCUAUCAAGCUAUAAACCUGAAAAUGAUAAAUAAUGAGAUGGUGAGUUCAACAACUCAGUGAGUAGAUAACGCUCAAUACACACACACACGAGGUAAUAUAACAAUGAGAAAUAUAUAUAUACAAGUAUGGCUUUAGGUUCUUAUGGAAAUGUUUCUCAAAUUGGCCAUAACAAGAAGAUCAUAUGGUAAAACUCGUCAGAAAAUCAAAAUGCAAUGAGCAUGAGGCUCCGUACUGUGGGAUGAUCAGUCCACACAGGUUGGUGACUCCCCCGACCAACUAGGGUUCAAAUACGAUGUGCACAAAGACUAACACUACCCUGUUAGCAUGGGUAUUCUGACUGGCAUACCAUAGGUUCAUAAUCAUAAUCAAACAGACAUAUUCAUAUCUCAAGACUCAACUCAUGACUUCAAUCAAAUGAGGAGCUAUCAAUUCAGAAUUCGAUUCAAAAUAUAUACUGGUUCAUAUCAAGAAUUCAGAUUCAAUAAUUGAUCAUGCUUUAUCAAAACAAGGAUAAUAAUCAACAUAUAUAUUAUCAAGAAGCAUGAUCCAAUUCAUAUUAACAAAUCAAAUAUUUAUAAUAUUUCUCAUGCAUAUGGAAAAUUAUCCACUCACCUGACUCGAAAGCAAACAUAAGUCAAAAGCAGACACCGAAGAAAAUCCUACUGACGUCCCGCCGGUAGAAUAUCAGGAUUAUCUGAAUAUAAAGGAGACAUAUUCAAGAAUGACUCAAAAGAAUAUAACCUAUUUAAUACACUUAUCUAAGGGUGUAUUCCAUAACCCUAUAUGUUUUUGAACUAUCUAGUUAUUUUUUCUAAAAACCCAACAUUUAACGGUUUUCCCGAAAUCUAAUCCAUAAUAAAAUAAAUAAUAAAAUUUAUAAUAAUCCCCAAUUAUUCAUCAAACCAAUCUAAAAAAGGUAAUAUUACAGCUAGGGACUAAUCUGUAAUUUAUCAUACUUUUAAGGGUCAAAUUGCAACUUUUGUCAAAUUGAAGGACUAAACUAAAAUUAUCAUAAAUCCAUGACUAUACUGAAAUUAUGACUAUAAUUAAUCCUCAAUUCUGUCCAGAUCAUCUCAUUAUACUCCAGGGACCAUUCUGGAAUUUUACCAAAUUUUUAGGGUCAAAUUGUAAUUUUUGUCAAAUUGGAGGACUAAAUUGAAAGUGUUAAAAUUUCAUAACUAUACAGGAAUUCUGCCCAUAAUUCAUAUGUUAUUCUGCUCAGAUUCUCGGAAUAGGCUCCAUGGACCAUUUUGCAAAUUUUCCAAAGUUUGGGGACUAAACUGUAAUUUUCCAAAAUUGAGGGACCAAACCAAAAUUUUGUCAUCUUCAACCUCAAACCCAGAAUUCUCACAGAUUACCUACUGUUCUUUCCAAAAUUCUAACUCAACAUUCACCAUUUACACAAUUCAUAACUCAAAAUCAUCACAAUCUUCCAUAAUCAACUCAUUAAUCAAUUACCCAUAACAAUCAACCUUAUAACAUUCAAUUUAAUUCAUCAAUUAAACUCAAAACACAACUUUUCAAAACCCUAACAUUCAUCAAAACUGAAAUUAAGUUCAAUUAACAUACAUUUAUACAUUUAACAACCUAAAUCUUACCUUUAAACUUAUUCUCUUCAACUCCUUUCUAUUUCCCUUCUAAUUCCCUCUUUUCUCUUCUUCUUCUUCUUUCUCCCUUCACUCCUGCCGGUUCUCUCUCAAAAUAUUCAGAUUUCUCUUCUCUUUUUUUUUUUCCUUCUAUUUAUAUUUAUCAUCUCUUUAUACAAUUAUUAUAAUACCUCUCAUUUAAUUUAUUCCUACAUUUAAGCCUUCAAGGGCUUUCUAGCCUUUUCCUAUCCCUUUAAUUCAAAACAUUACAUUCAUCUAUGUUCUUAUUUUUUGAGAGGGUCCUUGGCUACUAGAAACAAGAAUCACACCCCUAUGGGUUCAGUAGCUUUAUUCAGCCAUGCCAUCUCAGAUUCAUCCAAAUAAGGGGCCAGAAUAUCCCUACAUCUCCCAUGGUAGCUGUUACGCCAAUUUAUCUCUUCAGGACCAAGAAGGGUCAAGUCGAUCAUCUUCGUUUGAUAUGGUGCCCAUGUUUUGUGCUCGAAAGAUAAGUAGCCCUUGUCACCAAAAUUGAAUUUUGUAUCGGCCUCCUUGACGAUAAGCACAUUCUCCAAUCUUAUCCCGAAGUUCCCAUCCUCAUAGUAUCCAGGUUCAUCUGUUACAGUCAUGGAAGCUAAUUACGAGCAUGUGGUCUGAAACUAAUUAAAUGAGGUCCUUCAUGUACAUUUAGGUAUGAUCCAAUACCAUGACCAGUGCCAUGUCGAUAAUCAAGACCAUCCUUCCAUAAAGGAAUUCGAGCAAAGAAUGUCAAGGGCAUGAUCAUUAGUUCAGUUGAGAAAACAAGCAUUACCCAAAGCAACGAAGUUGAUGAUGGUGUGCUGGCUAGCCAAUGCUACACCCCCCCCCUCUGUUUCUGUUUUUUCUUUGUUUGUUCUCUGGUGUUUCUUCUUUGCUUUUUUUUUUCCUCUUUUCUUCCCUUACUCUUUUUGUGGUUUUUCCUUUAUAUUUUUUGUUUUUGUUUUUUAUCUUUUUAAUAUAAAUUAUAUCUUGAAGAUUCAUUUAAUAGUUUAAAAUAUUAAAUUAAAAUAUUUCUUUGAUAUAUUCAAUCUGAUAAAUGCAUUUUGCCUUCGCAAAAAAAUGUGCAGCACACAGAAAUGAUCCCUUUUUUUUUUUGUUCUGAGAAGAAAUAACGAUCCAUUUUAAAGGCCUUCAGAUUUCAACACAUGAAGGGAUGCAUACAUGUCUCAGGAAUUAACAAUGGAGGAGGGAUAACUUUUAAUUGCCACAGAUUCCCUCUGAGUAAGCAUGUUGAAUAGUUUUAUGAAAGUGACAAAAAAUUUGCAUGGUGGUUUCGAGGAGCGGGAAGUGGGAGUAAUCAUUGCUUAUAGGAGAAAGAAAGCACAAGGGAUUUGCCCUAUUGUUUUAUUUCUUUAGAGUAAACGGGUAUUAUCUAGUCCACCUUCAUGUUAAUCAUUUAAUAGCUUGUGCUUUCCUUUACGAGAUCAGCUGUUACUGACAGACUAAAAAUAAGUUUGCAGCUCUGAUUAAAUUAAAACAACAAAAAGGAAAAAGAUGGAAGACAGCUUGCUUCCCUUUCCAAGUUCUUUUGACUUCUCCAAAGAAAAGAACUUGGCUUUAAUUUGAUAUAGUUGCUUGCACAUAGCACUUUGAUAAAGUUGCUUCCACUAAGAGAGAGAUCUCUCAGUAUACCAUUGAUUUCCUAACAUCCCUCUCCAAAUUUCUUAUUGAUUUCCUAACUUCCCUCACCAAAUUUCUUAAACAUAUAGCAUGUCUUUAAACGGAUCAUACUAAAAUUAGCAUUUUCCAACCCCUUAUUGGUUAAUUAGCAUUUUUUAUUAUUAUUUUCUCACUAAAAUUACCGUUUUCUUGCCACCAAAAAAAAUAAAAAUACAUGCAUAGAUGAAGAUGUUAACAUUUAAAUUGGUGGGUGAAGUCUUUUAAGGAAAAGCCUCGAGAUUUAAUAUUUUGGAUAUAUAAAGAAUUGAAGAUUUAAUAUUUUGGAAUUACCAAUUAAGAUUUAAAGAUUUGAUCUUAUUUUAGCUUUUACAAGAACCAGAUCUCAUAUAACAACUGACAUUGAUCCUCUUAGUAUCUUUUUCUGUCCGUAGAACUGGUGCUAGCUAAAGCCAAAGGGAUUACUGUGCCAGAUGGGAAGCAAUGACCCGAGCCCUCUCUUACAAGCAUAUCUUAAAGCAGUGUAAUGUGAACACGUUGAACAGUUAGUGUGAAUAAAUAAAUAAAGCAAGUGAUUCGUGAAAGUGACAUUGGUGGUUUCCAGGAGGCAGUGAGACUAUUCUUUGCAUACAGCACAAGGGGUUUGCAUGUUAAUCAAUUAUUGACUAAAACUAAGCUUGCUGUUUACCUUUCGUAGGUGAAGUUGUAGCUUCCUGCCAAUUUCUAUUGACUUCUCCGAAGAAAAAAACAUAAAGUUGCUUCCAAAUUGCUUUGACUUUGAUAGCUAGUCUUCCACUAAGAGGGGAUCGUCAUUGGUUUCCAAAUAUAUAAAUAAAUAAAUUGAUCUUUCUUAGUUUUUGAAAUCCAUGCCUUCUAGAGUUCAUACCAAAUUCUUAUUUGGUUGUAGAAUUUGUAUGUAGGAUUCUUGAUUGAUCAGUUAGAUCUUGAUUAUAUUAUUGGUGUGAAAAGGCAAUAAUUAAUAACCUUGGAAACUUAGAAGUAAAUAUAAAUGCAAAAGGGAUAUUGUUGUAGUUGAAUAAAGCUUGAUAAGUAUAAAUGAGAUAAAAAAAAAAUAGGAAUUUGAAAUUAAGAGAGAGAACCAGUAGGAGAGAAGAAAAAAUAAAAGAAAAAGAAGAGAAAGGAGGGAAAGAUAAAUAAAGAAAAAGAGAGUCAGAUAAAAUAAGUAUUAAAAGUAAGAUUUAUGUUUUAAUGUGUAUAAUUUUGAUAUUUAUUUUUAAUUUUUAUUUUGUUGAAGAUUAGAAUUUUAAAAAUUUUAAUUAAUAAAUUAAUUUGAGUUAACUGUCAACUACCUGGAAAAAUUCCCUUCCUAAUCAGGAUAGGAUAGUGGACCUCCAUAUAGGGACAAAAGUGCUACCUUAUUAGUGCAAUUCGGUUGGAUAUCCCAAUCUUUGAGUUUGAGUCACUAGUGCCAGUCUUUGACCAAGAAACGUAGGCAGAUCGACUGUAUCUAUUCAAUUCAAGAUUAGCCAGGACUCUUUCCCUUAUCAAGAGCUUACCGGACUGAUUGUCUUCAAUGUCCGGAGUAUGAGUCUAUGUCUGAUCAUUUACUUUUAGGAAUAGAAUUUAGAUUCUGAUCUUUAGUAAUUUUAUGUUAUGAGAUAACAGAUAGAGUUGACUUCCUGUUACUGUUCGGGAAGAGAGUUUGACUUAAAGGAAUGUCUAGAGAGUGAGUUUCGAAGUAUUUUCCGGGACAUGUGAUCUUCUAUUCUAUUUUGAGAUAGGUUGUGAGAAUAGCUUCUCUUAGGGGAGUCUAGUCUAUCUUUAUUUAAUUUCCUGAUUUUAAAUUCAUUUUCAAAUAAAAUAUAUUUUAAAAAAUAAUAUUUAACACAUUUCUAAACAUUGUUGACUACAAAUGAUUUUUGUCCACGAAAAUGAGUAGUGUUUGUUUUCUUUUUGCCAAAUUACACUGUCGUUUCAAAGCCUAUAUUUUGUGCACGACAUGGUAAGUAAACUUUUCCCCGCUUGAUAAUUUCAAAUCUCCCCUUUGAUUCACUUCUCCAGAUAAAUAAAUAAUAAUAAUAAUAAUAAUAAUAAAAACGAGUUUUAUUACAUGUUAUUGUCGUACUGACCAUCACUAGAUAGAACUUGAGAUAUCUUUGUAGGUCAUCUGAAAUGUGAUCAUCAACGGAGAUGGACACAAGAUGAGGCAGUGCUUAACACGCGGGGGGUUUGUCCAAGCUUGCGUUAUGGAAUUGUAUGUCUCUUGGCUCCACGGGUCAGAGGUGAGGACUUCCUCUCCAACUAUAUCAAUCUAAAAAUUUAAGUCUGAAAAACAGUGAAAAACGCAAUGUUCAGUCGCUAUCUGGUGUAUGGGUUGGUGGUGGCAGGGCUGCGUGUUGGUUUCUUCAAGGUUAAUCCAUGCUGUCAUUAGCGAGCCGAAUUGCUCCUCGGCAACAUCACUGUCAUGAUAAUUGCAUAUGUUCCAUCUGAUAAAUGCAUUUUGCCUUCGCAAAAAAAAUGUGCAGCAUAAUUUAUUUUUUCUUCAAUUAUGGAUAAGAAAUUAUCCCUUUUUUUUCUUCUGAGAAGAAAUAAUGAUCCAUUUUAAAGGCCUUCAGAUUUCAACACAUGAAGGGAUGCAUACAUAUCUCAGGAAUUAACAAUGGAGGAGGGAUAACUUUUAAUUUCCACUGAUUUCAUGACAAAACGCACCGUACUAAUCUGUUGUUAAGCCGUUACUUAUGCGCACCGUUUCAAUAAAUUAUAAUUCUCAUUACUGGGAAGGUUGUCAAGUCAGCACCGUCUUCUCCUCUGCCUAAAUAUACUGGCAGUUGUAACAGAAUGGCCAUGCAAAAAAUGAAUGAGAACUGCUGUGGAUUCCCUCUUUUCUCUCCGUCUUUCUCUCGCUCCCUCUUUCCGUCUUUCUCUCGCUCUCUGGAUUCAUUUUUUUAUUAUUAUUAUUAUUAUUUUGAUUAUUAUUUAUUUUAUUUAAAAAAAUUUAUAAAAUUAUAUUUUUUUCAAUUUUAUUUUUAUUCAACUUUUUAAUUUAUAAGAUUUGUUACUUAUUAUUUUAAUAAACUUGAAAAAAAUAAAAUAUUAAUAAAUUAUUUUCCAGUUCAUUUUCCAUAACAUAACCAAACACUGGAAAAUGUUUUCCAACUUAUUUUUUAUUACACUACCAAACAUCAGAAAAUAAUUCAUUUUCCUGAAAUUUACUUUUCUAGAAUUUAUUUUCCAAAAAAAUAUUAUUUUUCAGCAAAUAAAUAGGUAUUAAUAACUAAUGUGUUUAUUAUAUUAGCCGGAAGACAUUUAUUUAGAGAGUAAAACAUCAAAUGCAAGACAGUGGUGCAGUGGGAGCUUCCUAACGAUUGCGAUGGCCUCCGUCCCUUUAUGCAGUUUUCAUUCGUAUGCCAUAGCCAUAACAAUUAAGGAAUAUAGCAUAUCACCGGAGCAAAAGUGCCUUUUCUUUUUAAUGAAUUUUGACAAUUUUAUGGCUGAGGUUGAUUUAAAAAAAAAAAAACUAAUAUUAUGAUAUGGGAUUGUUUUUUUAAAAUAUUUUUUAUUUAAAAAUAUAUCUUCACACGGUGAUGAUCCCAGUUCUUUGCCAAAAGCAAAUAGUAACAGCAAAGUCGGGGUCGGUUAAACCAACUAGCUAGAAUUCGUGUGUUGAGAUACAAAAAACUAUCAGGGGAACGAGAGACUAAAUCUUGAUUAGAACAUUCCAACCCUCACAUCAAUUCGGUUAGAUUAAAUGAUAAUAAAAGCUUACACAAUCCCAUAACGCAAGUCUACUCAAUCACUGCUUUAAUUUGCCAAUAAUCUCAAAGCACGAAACCAUAACAAAAAUGGUGAAUGACCAAUUAAGAUUUAAAGAUUUGAUCUUAUUUUAGCUUUUACAAGAACCAGAUCUCAUAUAACAACUGACAUCGAUCAUCUUAGUAUCUUUCUCUCUCCGUAGAGCUAUUAAAGUCAUCGCAAUUUGCAAGCAACUUUAUGUUUUUUUACUCUAAAGAAAUAAAACAGAGGUGCGAAUCCCUUGUGCUUUCUUUGUCCUGUAUGCAAUGAUUAUUCAUGAAAGUGACAUUGGUGGUUUCCAGGAGGCAGUGAGACUAGUCUUUGCAUACAGGACAAAGAAAGCACAAGGCAUUUACAAUUCUUGACUAAAAGUAAGCUUGCUGUUUACCUGUGGUAGGUGGAGUUGUAGCUUCCAGCCAAUUUCUAUUGACUUCUCCAAAGAAAAAACAUAAAGUUAUUGCAAAUUGCAGUGACUUUUUUAAUAGCUAGUCUUCCACUAAGAGAGAGAUCUCUCAGUAUACCAUUGAUUUCCUAAUUUCCCUCACCAAAUUUCACCGUAUUCUGUUCUUGAUCUGUAUCUUUCUUGCUUGAAAGCACACUAAUUUUGUUUCAAAUAAGAUUUGCCCAUUUGGUUGUAGAAUUAAUAAGUAGGAUUGUAGAUUGAUCAAUCAGGUGGAACUUAAUUAUAUAUGUGUUGCUUGAUCUAUUUUAGAACUCAAAACUCAUAUUUAGCUUUGUUCUUUCAUAUUGCCAUCAACUUAAACUAUUUAUCUUGAAAACAGCUGCUCUCAAGGUUUCUUUUGUCUGUUGAGUGCCUCUUGUCAGCUUGACAGGUGACUAGUUUGCCUACUCUUUCUCAUAUUCUUGUGCUUCCAUUUUCAGAUCAGCUUUCCCAGAGUUUCAACAUUGGGGCGCGUCCACACGUUUCCUCACUCAGCAAUUAGCUUCAGAUUCUUUUGUUAAAAUUCUUUUGAAUCCAGGUAAAGUGUUUAUACUUCAUCUUCUUCAUUUUGUUGCUGUCUUUGUUUUUGACAAGUAACUAUUGUUUGAAUCUUUUUAAGUAAAACACAAGUUGUACAAAUUUUAUUGAGAAACUUUGGAUUUUGUAUCAUCAAUAGUUUCCAAAUAUAAAUAAAUUGAUCUUUCUUAGUUUUUAUAAAUAAAUUGCCUUAUGGAGUUCAUACCAAAUUCAUUUUUUUUUCUUUUUAUAUUCUUUGCUGUUUUUAACUUAUUAUUUUAGUUUCAACCUUUCCUUUUCUGAUCGAUGUAACUUACAUUAAUUUUAUUCAAUAUUUUGACUCUGUUUUUAUAUAUAGGGCAAAAUGGUUCAAUCAAACUACCCAUUUUGGCACCAUGUUGCGGAGAUGAAGUGUAUGUAUUGUGGGCAUCAAUUUGCUAAGGAUACUUCCAUUUCAAGGAUCAAAUGGCAUUUAUCAGGAGAGAAAGGGCAUGGUGUUGCAAUUUGUGAAAGAGUUCCUAAACAAGUUCAAGAAGCAGCUUUUCUCGCUAUGCAUGGUGCCAACAAAAGACAUAAAAGCAUAGCAAGUUCAAGCAAUGUUAAUGAUAAUGCCAUUUCAACCACUCCACAAGAACAAAACAAUAAUGAAGUCGACAAGUUGGCAGGAGAUGCAGGAAAGACACAAGCACCAGAUAGAAUGGAUCACGCACUUGAAAAACGUAUGGAAGAGCUCAGUAAAUUGUUAAUGGAGGAUGAUAUAGAGAAUGGGACUGGAGGAGUAGUGCAGCCUGGUGCAGGAGCUAGCUCUUCUGGAGGGCUUACAGGCGACACAAAUGAGAUUCCAGGAGACGCAGUACCAACGACAAAGCUGGUGGGUCAAGCAUUCAAAGACCAUAAGAAGACUAUCUGGACUUGGUUGAUGCACGAUGAAGUUUCAACUAUUGGCAUCUAUGGGAUGGGCGGAGUGGGAAAGACGACAUUGGUGAAACAUAUAUAUGACCAGCUUCAAAAAAGACGAGACAGUUUCUGCAAUGUUUACUGGAUUACUGUUUCACAAGACACUAACAUUAAUAAAUUGCAAUACAGUAUCGCCAGACGGAUUGGUUUAGAUCUUUCUAAUGAAGAUGAGGAGCUGUAUAGAGCUGCUGAAUUGUCAAAAGAAUUAACGAAGAAACAGAAAUGGGUUUUGAUUUUAGACGAUUUGUGGAAGGCUAUUGAGCUACACAAGGUGGGAGUCCCUAUCCAAGCUGUUAAGGGAUGCAAGCUGAUCGUUACAACACGAUCAGAAAAUGUUUGUCAGCAGAUGGGUAAACAACACAUAAUCAAAGUGGAGCCUAUUUCGAAGGAAGAAGCUUGGGCUUUGUUUAUUGAGAGACUUGGACACGACACAGCACUUUCUCCGGAAGUGGAACAAAUUGCAAAAUCUGUGGCAAGGGAAUGUGCUGGUUUGCCGCUAGGAGUUAUAACCAUGGCUGCAACCAUGAGGGGAGUGGUUGAUGUACGUGAGUGGAGGAAUGCGUUGGAGGAAUUGAGAGAAUCAAAAGUUAGAAAAGAUGAUAUGGAGCCUGACGUAUUCUACAUAUUGAGAUUUAGUUAUAACCAUCUAAGUGAUUCAGAACUGCAACAAAGUUUCUUGUACUGUGCAUUAUUCCUGGAAGACUUCAAGAUCCGUAGAGAGGAUUUGAUAGCUUAUUUGAUUGACGAGGGAGUGAUAAAAGGGCUGAAGAGUAGGGAGGCAGAAUUUAACAAAGGCCACUCGAUCCUUAAUAAACUUGAAAGAGUCUGCCUAUUGGAAAGUGCUGAGGAAGGGUAUGUCAAGAUGCAUGACUUGAUUAGGGACAUGGCCAUCCAAAUACUACAAGAGAACUCUCAAGGCAUGGUAAAAGCAGGUGCACAGUUAAGAGAAUUGCCGGGAGAAGAGGAGUGGACAGAGCAUCUUAUGAGAGUUUCACUGAUGCAUAACCAGAUUAAAGAAAUUCCUUCCAGCCAUUCACCAAGGUGUCCCAGUCUUUCAACUCUAUUGUUACGUGGAAAUUCAGAGUUGCAAUUUAUAGCAGAUUCAUUUUUUGAGCAGUUGCGUGGACUCAAGGUUCUUGAUCUGUCUUAUACAGGUAUCACAAAACUACCUGAUUCUGUCUCUGAAUUGGUGAGUCUCACUGCAUUACUGCUCAUUGGUUGUAAGAUGUUAAGGCAUGUACCGUCAUUAGAAAAGCUCAGGGUACUGAAGAGGUUAGAUCUCUCUGGUACUCGGGCACUUGAAAAGAUUCCUCAAGGCAUGGAAUGUCUAUGCAACCUGAGGCAUCUUAGAAUGAAUGGAUGUGGUGAAAAGGAGUUUCCUAGUGGGUUGUUACCUAAGCUCUCUCACCUGCAAGUCUUUGUAUUGGAGGAGUGGAUUCCUCCUGGUACCAAAGAUAAUAGAAGAGGACAACCUGCUCCGUUAACUGUUAAAGGAAAGGAAGUGGGUUGUUUGAGGAAGUUGGAAAGUUUGGUAUGCCAUUUUGAAGGUUACUCAGACUACGUGGAGUUUAUCAAAUCUCGGGAUGAAACCAAAUCACUAACCACAUACCAAACUCUUGUAGGACCACUGGAUAAGUAUGAUUAUGAUUAUGAUGAUUAUGAUUAUGGUUGCAGAAGGAAAACAAUUGUUUGGGGUAGCUUGAGUAUCGACAGAGAUGGAGGUUUUCAGGUCAUGUUUCCAAAGGACAUUCAACAAUUGACUAUUGAUAAUAAUGAUGAUGCAACAAGUUUAUGCGAUGUUUCCUCUCAAAUAAAGUAUGCAACUGAUCUGGAGGUUAUCAAGAUUUUUAGUUGCAAUAGCAUGGAGAGCUUGGUUUCAUCUUCUUGGUUCCGCUCUACUCCACCACCAUCUCCAUCUUACAACGGUAUAUUUUCUGGUCUUAAGAAGUUCUUUUGCUCUGGAUGUAGUAGUAUGAAGAAGUUGUUCCCUCUUGUCCUGCUGCCAAACCUUGUAAAAUUAGAAGAGAUUAUAGUUGAAGACUGUGAGAAGAUGAAGGAGAUAAUAGGUGGAACAAGACCAGAUGAAGAGGGGGUUAUGGGUGAAGAAACCAGCAGCAGCAAUAUCGAAUUCAAACUCCCAAAGUUAAGAAAUAUGGAAUUGAGAGGAUUACCCGAACUGAAAAGCAUUUGUAGUGCAAAACUGAUUUGCGAUUCUAUCGAAGGAAUUGAAGUAAGAAAUUGCGAGAAGCUGAAGAGGAUGCCAAUUUGUCUCCCGUUGCUUGAAAAUGGCGAGCCAUCUCCUCCCCCUUCUCUUAGAAGAAUGUAUAUAGAACCAGAAGAAUGGUGGGAGUCAGUAGUGGAGUGGGAGCAUCCUAACGCUAAGGAUGUCCUUCGUCCCUUUGUAGAGUUUUUUGUGUGCUGACGACAGUGCCCUUAGUAUAAUAUUAAAUUAAGAGUAAGCAUUGUUGUUUUAAUUGGAUUAAGCUUAAGCUAUGUGUCUACUUAAUGACUGAUGUGUUUAUUAUAUCAAUAGGUUUGACAUUUAUUUAGAGAGUAAAACAUCAAAUGCAAGAAAGAGUCAUCCGUCCCACUGCAAGUAGCCAUGGGUGCAGCAGGUGACGAUGCUGAGGCCAAAUUAGUGCACAGAAGUUGGACUAAUGGUACCCUUAAUUUCUUAUGCUUCCUACCAGUUCACAGCACCUAAAUAAAAUCACUAUGAGUCGAAGGCACCACACCCAAAAAUGGCUCACCCUUGGCCAGACCACUUCUACCCACUGCACGUAGCCAUGGGUGCAGCAGGUGACGAUGCUGAGGCCAAAUUAGUGCACAGAAGUUGGACUAAUGGUACCCUUAAUUUCUUAUGCUUCCUACCAGUUCACAGCACCUAAAUAAAAUCUUCAUCAACAUUACAAGUGCUGCUGGAAUCCUUGUAGGCUGACAUUAUUAGCUAUAAAAUGAUAAUCUUGUGGAAUUACCCUAAACUGAAAAGAAGAAUAGGUAUUCUAAGUAGAUGGUUUUAGAACUUAGUUAAUUACAACAAAUUCUAAAUUUUUAACAAAUUUGUUAUAUAUCGAGAUGAUUUCUUAUCUUUAAUAAAUAGAUCCAUUUUAAUAAUACGUUGCACAAAUUAACUCGUAAUUAAAUACUUGUUGCAUAUAUAGUUCACAUAUGCAAGCCAAACACAAAUAAAAAUUCUUUGUCGAUCUUGAGUUUUCUUAUUCCAGCUUCCAAAUUCUUAUUUUGAUUAGUAAUGUAAAAAAUUAAUUAUUUUUGUUAGAUUUAUUUUUAAUAGUUUUAAUAUACUAAUAUAAAAAAUAAAUAAUAAAUAAUCUAAAAUAAUUAUUUUAAUAUUAGUUAAAAAAAUACUUUUGAAAAUGAUCACUUGGCAUUACUUUACCAAAACAAACUCUUAAUACAUAUAUUAGAUUCCAGGUGAAUUUCCAGCUAAUAUGAAAAAACAACGUCAGCCAAGACAUCAUCAAGAAGAGCAAGGUAAAACAAAACUCAUCAAUUGGGUCCCUACUAUUUGAAACAAAUGAAAAUUUACAAAACCAAUAAUAAUGAAGAAUUUACGUGUGAUUUUAUUUUUAGGAUUAUUUUGUUAAAGAUAAUCUUUUUAUCCACUAGAUUCAGGUCUUGUUUCGAAAGAUAGUUAUUUGUGUAGGUGAGAAAGUUCAAUUUUGGAAUCUGAAUCUCUCCAUUAUGGAUCUGAAUUGCUUUCAUUACAUAUUUUCUUGGUAAAUAUACUUUUAAAAAAAUCGCUAUUAGUUGUAAUAUUGGGAAAGAAUUAUAUUGAGCUGAUUUACAUUUAUUUAUUUAUUUAUUGUAUUCAAAAAUUAUAAAAAAAUAAAAUGUCACAGCAAUUCUGGAAACUAGGCACCGAGAAACCCCGCAUCCUCGAAGAGGAAGAAGGCGGUGUCGUUUUCUUUGCCCCCUCUCUCUUCCGCCUCCUCCUCUUCCUUCAGGUUUGGAUAUGCAAGUAUUGGGAGUAAAAGGCAGAGAUUGAUUUUUAAGCUGAUGGGAAUACAUUCACCUGAUGGAAAAUUCUAAGGAUGCAUUGGAGUCAGGACUUUUAAUUGCCAGUAUUAUCCAUACUACAUGCUUCCAAUAGAAAGAUUUACCGAAGGAAAGGUUUUAAAUUCUGCCUUCCAUGGACUCUAGCCUCAGUAUUCCGACUAUGUGUUUGAGUUGCUUGUAAUCUUCAAUGAAUCGAGAUAUUCGAGUUGUGAAUAGUAAGGUUCUAACAACCAAUGGAAUUUCCAUUAGCUUCCCUAAAAAGUUUCAAACCUUUUUACAUUGCCUGAAUAAGGGUUUCUUCAUACAGUCUGAUUCUUAUUAGUUUGAUUGCGUGAAUUUAACUAGCCUUUAUCUGAAAAUUUUGGGAGGUUUAGAAUUGAAUGACAAGGAAGCACAGGUCAUGAGAAAGGCUUAAGAGAUUUGGUGAGGGAAAUUAGGGAAUCGAUAAGAAAUUAGGCUUAGAGGAAGACUAGCUAUUAAAGUCAUUGCAAUUUGCAAGCAACUUUAUGUUGUUUUACUCUAAAGAAAUAAAACAGAGGUGCAAAUCCCUUGUGCUUUCUUUGUCCUGUAUGCAAUGAUUACUCUCAUGGAAACCACCAUGCAAACUUCAUGUCACUUUCUGCUUUAUUUAUUCACACUAACUAUCCAUCGUCUUCACAUACAGUACUGCUUUAAAUCCUCGAGUCUACUGAAUUAAUGAAGAUAGAAACUCCAAAGAAAAUCACUUGGCCAGAAAUAACAUACUUCAGUACUGGGGUCUGCAGCUAGCAUGGAUUAAAAAACUAUCUCCUUCCUUGUUAGAGAGGGCUCUGACAUUGCUUCCCAUCUGGCACACUGUAACUUGCAGAUCCGUUUGGCUUUUGAGCUGUGGACUCCCCAUCACUUCAACUGAUUUGUUGUUUGUUUGACCACAAGAUAUUGAUUGUCUAGGGAAAUUCCAAGGACGCAUUGGGGUCAGAACUUUUAAUGCCAGUAUUAUCCAAGGAUGAUUACAUACUGCAUGCUUCUAAGACAAAUAAAAUAUGUAUCAGUUCAUUUAAUGUAUUAGUUCUAAGUCAUUAAACAUAUUGCUAGUUCGUGAUCAUUCCAAUUUUCUUGUUGCUGCUGUUGUCCAUUCACUCUCGUAUUUCUUGACUUAUCUGUCAGUAAAUUGAUUAAUUUUUCAAUUUUGAUGCCUGCAUAAUGUAUCAGUUUAAAAUACAGCAUUAGUAUUGUUGCUGACAAGGGUCUGAAAAAGCCUCUCUAUACCUCUCCACGUUUGAACAAGGGAGAAGUUCUAUAUUUAGAAACACAUUCAUGCAGGUACUCCCUCUUUUUUUUCUUUUUCUUUUGUGCAGCACACGUUUUCUUCAAUUAUGGAUAAGAAAUGAUCCCUUUUUUUUCUGUUCUGAGAAGAAAUAAUGAUCCAUUUUAAAGGCCUUCAGAUUUCAACACAUGAAGGGAUGCAUACAUAUCUCAGGAAUUAACAAUGGAGGAGGGAUAACUUUUAAUUGCCACAGAUUCCCUCUGAGUAAGCAUGUUGAAUAGUUUUAUGAAAGUGACAUAAAAUUUGCAUGGUGGUUUCGAGGAGGAAGUGGGAGUAAUAAUUGCAUAUAGGAAAAAGAAAGCACAAGGGAUUUGCCCUAUUGUUUUAUUUCUUUAGAGUAAACGGGUAUUAUCUAGUCCACCUUCAUGUUAAUCAUUUAAUUGCUUGUGCUUUCCUUUACGAGAUCAGCUGUUACUGACAGACUAAAAAUAAGUUUGCAGUUCUGAUUAAAUUAAAACAACAAAAAGGAAAAAGAUGGAAGACAGCUUGCUUCCCUUUCCAAGUUCUUUUGACUUCUCCAAAGAAAAGAACAUGGCUUUAAUUUGAUAUAGUUGCUUCCACUAAGAGAGAGAUCUCUCAGUAUACCAUUGAUUUCCUAACAUCCCUCUCCAAAUUUCUUAUUGAUUUCCUAACUUCCCUCACCAAAUUUCUUAAACCUAUAGCAUGUCUUUAAACGGAUCAUACUGUUCUUAUUCCACAAACUCGUGGAUAGAACCUGAGGAGGCCAGCCGUCUUCCCUUUGGUGAAGUUGUAGCUUCCAGCCAAUUUCAUGACAUCUCCAAAGAAAAAAGCAUGGCUUUACGUUAUUUCUGGCCAAGUGAUUUUCUAUCGAGAGUAAUUAUUGCAUAUAGAACAAAGAAAGCACAAGGAACAAACAAAGCAAAAGCAGAAAGUGACAUAAAGUUGUAGCUUCCUGCCGAUUUCUAUUGCGAUGACUUGAAUAGCUAGUCUUCCACUAAGAGAGAUCUCUCUCUGUGUACCGUUGAUUUCCUAAUUUCCCUCACCAAAUUUCUUCAACCUUUCUCAUGAUCUGUGCUUUCUUUGUCUGAUUGAAUCGAAUCAUCUUGUAUAUUUAUGUUUUUUUAAUUAAAUAUAUUUUUAUUUAAUUUAUAUCUCUUCAUUUUAUCUUAGAAUAUUAACCAAACAGAGCCUAAAAGUAAAUCCUUAUUCUCGCAAAAGAUUUAAUAAAACUUCACAAUGAAAGAAAAAGGGACUCGGGAGGAUGCAAAUUCGUAGGUUAACUGAAUUACUGAUGUAUUUUUAUCCUUGUAAAUUAUUAAAUUGAAGAUGAAGCAGAUAUUCUAUAAAAGCCUUCAGAACUUUUUCCAAGGUAAGGGUUUGGCAUAUGUUCUUUGUUCGAGCUUUAUGGUUAUUGGUUCUUUAAAUUGUUUGUCAUCUCCUACCUACAUUUUAGGUACUGAGGCCACAUUAAUGUAUAACGAGUGUAGCAGGUUAAUUAGCAGUUUUUAUUUUAUUUUCUCACUAAAAUUACCGUUUUCUCCUUAGCGAGCCGAAUUGCUCCUCGGCAACAUCACUGUCAUGAUAAUUGCAUAUGUUCGAUCUGAUAAAUGCAUUUUGCCUUCUCAAAAAAAAAAAGUGCAGCACACGUUUUCUUCAAUUAUGGAUAAGAAAUGAUCCCUUUUUUCUUUUCUGAGAAGAAAUAAUGAUCCAUCUUAAAGGCCUUCAGAUUUCAACACAUGAAGGGAUGCUGUAAUAUCUCAGGAAUUAACAAUGGUGGAGGGAUAACUUUUAAUUGCCACUGAUUUCUUGACAAAACGCACCGUAAUAAUCUGUUGUUAAGCCGUUACUUGUGCGCACCGUUUCAAUAAAUUGUAUUUCUCAUUACUGCGAAGGUUGUCAAGUCAGCACCAUCUUCUGCAAAAAUGGGCAUGCAAAAAUUGAAUGAGAACAAUUGAAUGAGAACAAUUGUUAAUUCCUGCUGUGGAUUCCCUCUCUUCUCCCCGUCUUUCUCUCGCUCCCUCUCUCUCCUUCUCUGUCUUCUCAAUCUUUCUGGUUCAACACAGAUUGGAGGAUUCUUGAUCGGGUUGUUACCUAUAGAUCGUACGUGAUAUCUUAUACCAGCUUUGUGAUGUAUGCAGGAAUAAUAUUGGUCUUUAAAUGGUUUUAUUUCUUAAAUAAAUCAAAGAAUUGAAGUUAAUCUCUUUUCUUUUUUCUUUAUAAAAAAUAUAUUGGACUACUUUAUCCGUACCAGAGUAUUUGAGCAACUAAAAUAAAAUUAUUAUAUCACGACUCGAUUCUUGGAUCCAUAACCGGCAUAUAGCUAAAGUCCUCCUUCAAGAUUUCAUAUUUCUGCGAACCCAAACUCACAUACAACCUUAUUCUUUAAAUAACUCAAUAAGAGUUCAACGCAACAUUAAUAACAAAACUAACUUCAUAAUAUAAUUUGAUUAUCUUAAUACAAGAAUUAAUUCAAAUUACAUCCAAAAGAGCAUGUUCUGAAGAUCCAAUAAAAGUGACCUGCUAACAAGCUAUAAGUCUAAAAAAGAUAAAUAAUGAGAGGGUAAGUUCAACAACAACUCAGUGAGUAAACGUUCAAUAUAUAUACACGAAAUAAUAUAAUAAUAAAAAAUAUAUAUACAAUUAUGGCUUUAGGUUCUUAUAGGAAGGUUUCUCAAAUAGGUUAUAACAGGAAUAUCAUAAGGUAAAGCUCGUCAGAAAAUCAAAAUGCAAUGAGCAUGAGGAUUCAUACUGUGGGAUGAUCAGUCUACACAGGUUGGUAACCAAUUAAGAUUUCAGAUACGAUGUGCACAAAGACUAACAUUACCUUGUUAGCAUGGGUAUAAUGUCUAGCAUAUCAUAGGUUCAUAUCAUAAUCAAACAAAGAUAUUCAUAACUCAAGGCUCACUACUAAAAAAUGGAGUAAUUAGCAACGGACUAUUCCGUUGCAAAUAACACUAAAAUCCGUUGCUAAAACAAUUUAGCAACGGAAUCAGCAACGGCAAAAAUCCGAUGCAGAUUUGUCGUUGCUGAUUUUUUUGCAACGGAUUUAUCCGUUGCUAGUUUUGCGGAAACGCCACGGAUGCUCCGGAGCUGAGUCAUGCAUCAGUCUGGUGUUUAUUAAAUUAAUUUUUAUUUAUUUAUGAAAAUGGAUUCUUAAUUUAUUAGUUGAAUUAUAACAUGGAUAUUUUAAAAAGGAGCAGAGGUUAUACAACCCCCUUACCUUACUAUGAUAUUGAACAUAAGUAAUAGCAUUAUCAAAAAAAACCCAGCUAACAAGGGUAUGCAUAUUCUUAUGAGCUUAUGGUAAACCUUGCAUUUAAAUAGAUUUACCACCCAGUGCNNNNNNNNNNNNNNNNNNNNNNNNNNNNNNNNNNNNNNNNNNNNNNNNNNNNNNNNNNNNNNNNNNNNNNNNNNNNNNNNNNNNNNNNNNNNNNNNNNNNAGAACGACUGUGUUACGUAACAAGAUUGGUCUUGCCGAUGGAAGCUCAAUCUUGCGGGGGCGUAUCAGGGAAACAUGCAGAGAAUCUGCUCAAAUCAACACAAAGAAGGAAUAGCAGAAAAUCAUGGCACAGACUCUGCCAUCAACGAUAUAUAUUUGGAACGUAAAAACAAAAUAAAAAUAAUAUUCAUAUUAUAAAAAUUUAGUUAAACUUGCAUUAAUACAAUUAAGUUCAAAUACAAUAAAAAAAAAAAACAACAAAAGAUACAAUCAUGGUGCUGGUUGCGAAGACGAACCAUGAUAUUGUGGAUCAAUACAAGAUUGAUCAGGAUAUAAAGGUCGAGGUGUAGGUCGAAAAAUUGGUUGAGAUGCGGGACCCAUAGGUGUCAUUAUCUGAGGAGCCAUAGGUGGCGGUAUUGAUGGAGUCAAAGGUGGUGGCAUACCUUGAUCAAUAUUUGAUGUCCCACCAUGGUAUCCAAGAUUGUUCACAAGAUAUUCUUUCAUGGAAUCCAUCUGCCGUUUCAUUUCAAGAAUAAAAUCAUCUUUUUUCUUUAUCUCCUCUUCUUUAUCCUUUAUCUCCUUUUGCAAUGCUCGAUACGAUGAACUGGGAUAUGAUGACUCCACCGAGUAGGAAUGUGAUGAAGAGCUUGUACUAACUUUUGAUUUUGGCAUACGAGGUGCACCAUAUACCCUACCCUUUGUAACUCCUCCUGAAGCCACACACCAAGCUGCUCCAUCAAAUGAAGGAUGAUUUUCCCGAUCAGUUCCAUACUUUGAAAUCAUCUCCAUUUUAUAAUUUUCCUACAAAUAAAAUACAUGCAAUAAUAAAUUAAUUUGAAUGUUGAAUAAUACUUAAGUUAUAUUAAGAAAUAAUCAAAUAAAAAUACAUACAACCACUUUUUUAGACUUGUUGUCGACGAAGCUACCAGAUUGCUUAAUACUUUGAUGCAAAGCUGAAAAGACAUCAUCCCAUGGAGGUUCUUUUCCACCAGCUUCCUCUUGCUUUCAAGAUUAAUAAAUAUUAUAAAAGAUAAAUAUACAAAUUUUAAUUUAUUAUCUUAAGCAUAAAAAAAAAAUCCAUACCAUGUUAGCUCGAUAUGAUGCAAAUGACACUGUUCCUCCAGAAUGAGUGCUUAUUUUGCCAUCUGUUUUGGUUAAUCGAUUCCUCCUAGCAGAUUCAGAUCUCCUUUGAAAUUCAGGGGUGGACCAAACAUCUUUGAUCAUUUGAUUCCAGUCAUCAUUGUUUAUCCAGGCAGGACCUUUAUCAAGACAAUCUAUAAUAUUUGUAGUGUUUUCUUUUGACAUAGCUUUCUUGCGAGCUCGUGUCAAUUGUUGAUUCAAAGCUAUCCUAGCCUUAUCUUCCCAAAUAUUACGAACAAUCGACUCAUCUUCCUCAGGAAAGGAAUAUUUUUUCUACCAAAUAAUAUAUAUACCAAGUAAAAAGAGUGCACAAAAUUUCAAAUUAUAUAAAUAAUUAAUCAUAUUGUGUUAUCUUGUUCAGAAUUUGCAAGAUGAUGUAAUAACUAAAGAAAUUAAAUGAUAUUAAAGAGUAAACAAGAAAUAAGAACAAAUUAUAACACAAAUCAGUCAUAGCUAUUCCGUUGAUAAUUUUCAUAAUUCUACAUUAAAGUGAAAAAAAUUGAAAAGAUUAUUAUGGCAAUUAGUGUUGGUUCUUACCUUAAACUCUUUAAAGAGUUCAUCCCUGCACAUUGGAUCUACUUUUUCCCAAGAGUGCCAUGCUCCCUUAAAAUUGGACCUCAAAAUAUCUCCGAUUGCACGGCCACACGAUGCGUUAUUGAACCUGAAAAUAUAUAAUAACAAACUUAUAUUAAACAAAUAAUUACACAAUAAUAAGUAAUUUUUUUCAUACUUGAAAAUAUAACCUUAAUAAGUUAGUUAUUAAAAGUUUGAACNNNNNNNNNNNNNNNNNNNNNNNNNNNNNNNNNNNNNNNNNNNNNNNNNNNNNNNNNNNNNNNNNNNNNNNNNNNNNNNNNNNNNNNNNNNNNNNNNNNNNNNNNNNNNNNNNNNNNNNNNNNNNNNNNNNNNNNNNNNNNNNNNNNNNNNNNNNNNNNNNNNNNNNNNNNNNNNNNNNNNNNNNNNNNNNNNNNNNNNNNNNNNNNNNNNNNNNNNNNNNNNNNNNNNNNNNNNNNNNNNNNNNNNNNNNNNNNNNNNNNNNNNNNNNNNNNNNNNNNNNNNNNNNNNNNNNNNNNNNNNNNNNNNNNNNNNNNNNNNNNNNNNNNNNNNNNNNNNNNNNNNNNNNNNNNNNNNNNNNNNNNNNNNNNNNNNNNNNNNNNNNNNNNNNNNNNNNNNNNNNNNNNNNNNNNNNNNNNNNNNNNNNNNNNNNNNNNNNNNNNNNNNNNNNNNNNNNNNNNNNNNNNNNNNNNNNNNNNNNNNNNNNNNNNNNNNNNNNNNNNNNNNNNNNNNNNNNNNNNNNNNNNNNNNNNNNNNNNNNNNNNNNNNNNNNNNNNNNNNNNNNNNNNNNNNNNNNNNNNNNNNNNNNNNNNNNNNNNNNNNNNNNNNNNNNNNNNNNNNNNNNNNNNNNNNNNNNNNNNNNNNNNNNNNNNNNNNNNNNNNNNNNNNNNNNNNNNNNNNNNNNNNNNNNNNNNNNNNNNNNNNNNNNNNNNNNNNNNNNNNNNNNNNNNNNNNNNNNNNNNNNNNNNNNNNNNNNNNNNNNNNNNNNNNNNNNNNNNNNNNNNNNNNNNNNNNNNNNNNNNNNNNNNNNNNNNNNNNNNNNNNNNNNNNNNNNNNNNNNNNNNNNNNNNNNNNNNNNNNNNNNNNNNNNNNNNNNNNNNNNNNNNNNNNNNNNNNNNNNNNNNNNNNNNNNNNNNNNNNNNNNNNNNNNNNNNNNNNNNNNNNNNNNNNNNNNNNNNNNNNNNNNNNNNNNNNNNNNNNNNNNNNNNNNNNNNNNNNNNNNNNNNNNNNNNNNNNNNNNUCAGGGCUUUAGGCUUGAAAACGAAAGCCCUCACAAUAUUGAUAUGCACCAACCCUCCCAUAAUCAUGUUGAGGAGGAUGUGUACUCCCCAAAGUGGGUAUAUAAUACUCAUUUACAUUCUGAUACACAGGUUGAUGAAAUGUGGAUCCUUUGUUAUUAUGCCUUGAUGUAGUUUGAAAUGACUUGGAUGAAGUGGACCUGUCACUCCUUGAUGUGGACCUGUCACUCCUAGAUUCUAAUAUGGAUCCUCGUCGAGGCAUGCUAAAAACCAGAAAAAAUAGCUAACAUUUAAUAUGAAUAUAUACAACAUAACAAUAAAUUAGCUCAUAUUUAAACUAUCAGGAACAAAAAAUUCACAGAUAUUUUCCCAAGACUGCCAUAACUAGAAUGAAAACAAACUGUUAAAUCUCAUUUUUUUUCCCAAUUCAUUACAAACAAUAUCUAGAUUAUGAUGUUCAAAAUCAGUAUGGAUUGUCCACUUAAUAGUCAUCACUCCAAAAAAUAUUAUACUUCAACUAAAAUAAUUAUUGUAACAAAACCAAAUAUAUAAAUAACAUAAAGACAAUUUCAUUAAGCAUUCCUUGCAAUGACAAAACUCAGCCAUGAAGUUUAAAUUGUCAAAAGCCAAUUAACACAAACAAUAAUAAAAAUAAAAAUCUAAAUAAUUAAUUAAGCAGAAAUCAAAAUUUAUAAGUAUGCUUACCUUAAUGUUUGGUCCUAUAAAUCAAAACAUUGAGUAGGAAGAACCCUUUCUUUCACGCUUCAGCAUCUGUAAGCAAGAAAAUGAAUCACAAAAUAAAAUAUAACAUCAGAAUCACAAUUUAAAGAAUGAUACUUGAAAGGUUAUAAAUGGUUUCAAAGGUGAAUGAAAAUGAUUUAUGUAAUGUGAUGCAUAACACACACUUGAAUAAAAUAAUAAUAAAAACAUUGAAAGCCUAAAUAUUGUGAAAUAAUAUGAGUUCAUUCAUACAUAUAAUAAAGAUAAUUCAUUACGUAUACUACAAAAUAUAAUUAACUUGUGCUACUCAUUAUUAUCAUCAUUCCUAACCAUCACCACCAUAACAAUCAUCAUCAUCAUCAUCUUCUUCUUCUUCUUCACCAUCACCAUCACCAUCACCAUCACCAUCACCUUCUUCUUCAUCAUCUUCAUCUUCAUCUUCAUCUUCAUCAUCUUUGUUUCCCCAAUUCAUGUCAAGUUGAAUCAAUUCAUGUUGCCCAAUUUCUUCAUAAUAAGAUGAUUCAACAAGUAUAUUUGGAUCAUCAAGUGUUGGAGUAGGAAGGACACGACAUGGUUGAGAAAUCUCAUCUGAUUGAUCAACAUCAAAUGAUCUCACAUUGUUGGCAUCUUCAAUAAAUUCACCCAUGUCAACAUUAUAACGACUUCUAGCAGUUGUCUUAAUAACCGUCCACCAUUCAGAUGAUUUAUUACCAGGUGGAUAUGUAUAGUAGACUUGUUGACAUUGUUGUGCUAACACAAAAUCUUCAUUUCCAUGUAGUCGAGAUGUAUGCUUGAUUUCAACCAAACCAUUCGAAGGAUGCACUCUAAUCCCUCGUUUUGUAUCAUACCAAUUACAUUUAAACAUAAAUAACUUGCACUUACUCCCCAAGUAUUUUAGCCGAACAACUUCUUUAAGCAUUCCAUAAUAAUCACGUUCAUUAUCAUCAUAGCAACUUCCUUUCACACAAACUCCACUAUUCAUUGUCUUUUUAAAACGGCCAUAACGUUGAGUAUGAAAUUUAAAACCUUUCACAUAAUACCCAUUAUAACAUUUCACUGAAGUUGAAGGGCCCAUAGCAAGUCCAAAGAGCUGAUUUUCAAUUCCGUUAGAUUGGUAUUCCACCUAGCAUAAUAGUUAACUCCAUAAGAAAUAAUGAUUUAAAAGAGAUUAAUAAUAUUUUUAAAGUAGCUAAUUGACAUAAAAUAUAAAUUAAUUUUAUUAAAAUACUUACAUUAUUUUUUAACCAAUUUGGAAAGAUCGCUUCGCAUAAUUUUUCAAUUUCACCAUCACUCGCAUAUGGUUGUUGUGACUUUAGCUCUUGUCGACAUUGCCUAAAAUUUUAAAAUGUUAAAGUUAAUAAUAAAUUAUUAUAAAUUUAGUACAAAAUAAUAUUUCAUACUUACUCUAAAUAAGGCUUCAGUUCUUGACAAUUGAAUAUCACAUAGUUAUGCGCAAUUUGCAUUUCAGCAUGUGACAACUGCCUUUUAUAAAAUCUUUUGGAUAAUUUUUUCCCUGGAUAGGAAAAAAUAGAGAGACAUCCAUCUACACUUCUAAGGCCACCAUCAUCAUUCCGUGGAACUCGAUUCCAAAUUGUUUGCACGUCAUCACCAAAAUAAUGAGAUGCAAAAUUGGUAAUUUCAUCAAUCAAGUAUGCUUCACAUAUGGAACCCUUAGCUUUAUUGGUCACUUUCUUCUUCAAAUAAAACAUAUACCUAUAUCAUUUCUGUCAAUUAGUUUAUUUUUAAAAAAUAAAAAGUGAAUAAAAUUAACAUAGUAUGAAAACAUACCGUUCAAAUGGAUACAUCCAUCGAUAUUGAACUGGUCCACCAACUUUUGCCUCGUAAGGUAGAUGUAUCGUCAAGUGUUCCAUGGAGUCAAAGAAGGAUGGAGGAAAAAUCCUUUCAAGUUUGCAAAUUAUUUCAAUUAUAUUCAUCUGCAUUAACUCCAUAUGCUGGGCAUUUAAAUUUGUUGAACAAAUAUCUCGAAAAAAUACGGACAGUUCAGUUAAUGCCUCCCACAGUGGCCUAGGUAAGUAAGGUCGAAAAGCGGUUGGAAGAAGUCUUUGAAUGAAGACAUGACAAUCAUGGCUCUUCAUCCCCGAAACCUUACAUUGUGCCUCUUUCACACAUCGUGAAAUGCUUGAAGCAUAACCAUCAGGAAAUGAUAAUUCCUUCAUCCAUGACAAAACUUCUUGUUGUUGUUUCUUGUGCAGACAAUAAGUGCCUUUAGGUUUGUAAAGCCGACCACUCAUAUCUUGUUGCAAAUGUAAAUUUGGCUUCUGACAAUACAAUUGAAUAUCCAACCUAGCCUUUAAAUUGUCCUUGCUUCUAUUCGGACAAUCCAUUACUGUAUAAAAAAUAUUGUCAAAGACAUUUUUCUCAAUAUGCAUGACAUCAAGAUUAUGACGAAUCAAAUUUGUAUGCCAAUAUGGAAGCUCCCAGAAAAUGCUCUUCUUCACCCAAUUGUGCUUAACACCAAAGCCAGGAAUUUUAUCAUUAUAUGAUGAACCUCCAUUAUGUCCCUCAGUAUACUUGGACACUUCAUUUAACAUUUCCAAACCAGAUGGACGAGGUAAAGGAGGAAGCCUUUCAAUUACUCCUUUCAAAAACUUAUCAGAUUGAAAUCUAUAUGGGUGGUUCAUGGGUAGGAAUCGUCGAUGACAAUCAAAAAAUGUAGUUUUCCCCCCAUUUUUUAAUCUAAAAGCCUUGCUAUGCUCCAUACAAUAAGGACAAGACAAAUUUCCAUGAGUACUCCACCCCGAUAACAUGCCAUAUGCUGGAAAGUCACUAAUGGUCCACAUCAAAGCUGCCCUUAAUUGAAAAUUUUCCUUUCUGUAUACAUCAUAUGUUUCAACACCAAAAAACCACAAAUUCUUUAACUCAUCAAUCAAAGGUCUUAGAAAAACAUCAAGCUUUUUACCCGGAUUCUUUGGCCCAGAAAUCAUCAUUGUCAAAAACAUGAAUGGUCUAGUCAUGCACUUCCACGGAGGCAAAUUAUAAACAGUCACAAUUACUGGCCAACAAGAGUAUGUAUUUGAAGACAUGUCAAAUGGACAAAACCCAUCAGUGCACAACCCUAACCGAAUAUUUCUCGGAUCUGAUGCAAAGCUUAAGUGGACACGAUUAAACUCCUUCCAGGCCUCCCCAUCAGAUGGGUGCACCAUAACCCUAUUAUCAGACUUAUGAAAAUGAUGCCAUGUCAUAUCUUUGGCAUGAUAUGGAGACAUGAAUAGUCUCUGAAGCCUUGGUGUUAGAGGAAAGUAUCGGAGUUGCUUCUCCGCCUUAUUGGAACCUUUACUAGUUGGAUUUCUAGGUUUGUAUCGUGAACUUCCACAAAAAUCACAAUUUAUUUUCAUUGCAUCUGCCCCAUAGUACAGCAUACAGUAAUUAGGACACACAUCAUAUUUCUCAUAACCAAGUCCAAGUGGCCGCAUAAAUUUCUUGGCAUCAUAAAAAUUUGAAACCAAAUUUUCAUCAUUAGGCAUGCAACUUUUUGUAAAGUCAAUGAAAUUGUUGAAGGCAUUCUGAGUCAAAUUUAAAGUUGACUUCAUAUUAAGCAAUUGUACACAAGCAGAUAAUUUGGAUUGCUUGGUACACCCAUCCCACAACGGCUCCUCCGCAGCUUUCAAAAGCUUAAAAAAUUUAGUUGCAUCCGGAUUUGGAAUUUCUCCUGCUACCACAAGACUAGACACAUUAUCAUUGUAGAAUGCAUCACCCAACCCCACUGCAUCCAUAACCAUAUUCCUAUAUGGAUUCUCUAGACAAACAUCAUUCACAACAUGACUCAUUCCAAUCGAUGAAGGUCCAGCCAAUAUUGGUUCUGCGACAUAAGGCUCCCCAUGUACAAUCCAAUUUUCAUAACAAGGUAAAAAACCUUUUGUCAAUAGAUGUUUACAAACAUCAUCUUCCUUUAAAAACUUUUGAUUUUUGCACCUCACACAAGGACAUCUAAUUUUUCCCUCAGAUAUAUUUUUAUCAAUUGAAAAUGCAAAAUUGAUAAAUCUUCUAACACCGGUAAUGUAUUCAGGACGAAGGCGACCAUCCAUAAGACGACGAUACAUCCACGAUCGAUCAUCCAUGUUAAUCUAAUUAACAUGACAACACCAAUAAGCAUUUUUUGAAAUAAGCAUACUUCUUUAACUACUAGUACUUAAACAAUCUUUUAAAAUAAAAUAUGUUCGGUUAGUAUUUUAUAUUUUCAUUUAUAUUUUCUAACUAGUGACAAAAGUAGACUUUUAGAUUAUGUUCGGUUAGUAUUUUAUACAGCAUAAAUGGAUGAAGAAAAAAAUAUAUUUAGUUGAACAAAUAUUAAAUAAAUUUAUCUUUAUAAUAGUUUUGGAGUUCAUUUUUUUUAUUGGUCCUUCUAACUUUUGUUACCACCUCAAGUAGUUUUUUUUUUUUAUUUGGAUCAUUUUAUUUUUAUUGGAUCCAUCAAACUUUUUAUUUUUAUUCGGAUAUUUUUUUGCUCAACUAAGAAAUGGUAAAUGAAAUCAGAAACAUGCGAGGUAAUACAAGAUUAAAGAAUUUUUUUCAAUUUUUAAAAAAGAUAAAAAUGCAAUAUAAAAAAAAACAUAAUUUAUUAUGUGUUACAAUAGUUACUCACAUUUGUAUCUUUGUCUCUUAUCAUAUACAUUGUAUCUAUCUUUUAUGUCGUAGUGAAAUAAUAAUUAAAUAAUAAUUAUAAUACUGGUGGAUUAAAAUAUAAAUACAUUUGUUUUAUAAAUUUUGUAGGCACAAUCCAAUUUAGUUGAUUACAAGUUCUACACGGACGAGCAAUAAAUAUUGUUAAUAUUUAUGGUUAAGGUAAUGGAGGUGUGAAUAUAUUUAUGUUAAACCUCUUUCUAUGAAAUACUUAUUAUUUAUAUUUUGUUGUGUAAUCAAAGUUUAUAGUUAAACAUGUAAAUUAACUAUUAGUCUCUUGGAUGAGGAUUUGUUGUUGUAUUAUGACAUUUUUUUAAAAAAAAUAUCAAAUUAAUAUUCUUAUAUUUUUAAAUAAUUUUAAUAUAACAAUAUUAAACAAAUUAUAAAAAUUUAUUUUAAUAUAAUUUCAAUAAAAAAUCACACGACAUUAUUUUAUUUGUGUGGGUAUACAUGUUUUCCACGCGUAAUUAUAAUUGCAAUCACCGAAUUUAAAGAAUACUAUUAGUCUCUUGGAUGAGGAUUUGUUUUUGUAUUAUGACAUUUUUUAAAAAAAUCAAAUUAAUAUUCUUAUAUUUUUAAAUAAUUGUAAUAUAACAAUGUUAAACAAAUUAUAAAAAUUUAUUUUAAUAUAAUUUCAAUUAAAAAUCACACGACAUUAUUUAAUUUGCGUGGGUAUACAUGUUUUCCACGCGUAAUUAUAAUUGCAAUCACCGAAUUUAAAGAAUACUUACUUUUCCGUAAAACUCCUAAAAGUGGUUUUGCAUUUUCCAUAGUGUUGAAAAACAAUUUAAACAUUUCCUUCAAACAUCAAUAUCUCUCACCCAUUUCUCCCAUCUCUCCCUCAAAAUCCGAUCAACAGAAUUCAAUAUCAAAUUCAACAGAUUUCAAGCUGUUUCAACAGAAUUCUUAUUUUAUCAAUUAUGUUGUGCAUAUAGUAAAAGGAAUCAACUUUUCCAUCAUUGUAAUGUAAGUAUUGUUAUUUACCACACACCUAAAUGUGUAAUCAUGUUUCUGAGAGUUUGAUUGUACUCAAUAUCAGAUGUAAUGAAAGAAAAUCAUUCCAUUAGUUUUCUUAUACAAACUGUCAAUAUUGUCCCAAUGAAAGGCAAAGUUCCAACUACUUGAAAAGAUUACAAUAGGCAUGUUCUAGCAUAAAAAAUUACGCACGAUAUAAUUAAGCAACCAUGUAAAAAUGGAGCAAAAUAGACUUACCUAAGCCCCAAGAAUCAAUGGCACAAGGUGGAGGUUUUCUUAUUGCAACCCAAUCAGAUGUAGCAUAUUGUGAUCCAAUAAGCCAUUCAUAUUGCUGGAAAAAUAAAAAACAUAAACAGUAUGUUACACCCAUCAAGUUAUAACAAUUGCUAGUCUUUAAAACAAAUUAGUGCUUUCCUCUAUAAUCCUUUAUCCUUUGUGUGAUUGGAAAUGGAUCUAUACUAAUUAGUGCUUUGCUAGAACUGACUUCACAGUGUAAACAUCAAGCUCCCAUCUUUUAUAUUCAUUCCAAACAAGAUCAUGACCUUGUGAACCGAAAACAGCAAAAGAGUGUCUAAUAUUUCCAAUUUCACAAUUUAAAUGGUCAAGUCCAGUGACCUCACAGCACUUGACCCUAGCCUUUUCCACAAAUAAUUCUAACAAGCCCAUGCGAUUGCUUGUAGUUUGUUAACUGAUCCUAUAUCCACUGAUAAUGGCUAAGCAAGCAAAGAUUUUCACCAUCAGUUUGCAUCAUUCACACAGAGAAACUCAGCUAACUGACUAAAAAAUGAACCAUUGCACAAUGCUGGUGCAUUUUACAUGUAUCAUUACAGACAAACCUGCUAAAAAACAUGCAAUUGUUUCUGCAAUUACACAAGUUGGCUCCAAACAAUUUGCUACUUAGUUCAUGCAACAAUCAGAGUCAUCUAAAACAUGGAAUGUGGAAAGGAAAUAACUGGAAGUGUGAAUAAUUUACAGACAGAGUCUGAAGGUCUAGCCCACAAAGUAACAACUACUGGAUUAGGUAUUUUAGGAAGAAGGAUGUGUAUUUCUCAACAAUGACAGAAAAGUGAACUUGUGCCAUUUCAAAGGUUGAUGUUUAAAUAAUGUUCUUCUUUUGUACCAGCUUUUCAUAUAACAGAACAUAUGAUGAAACUCAUGCAUUGCCACAGCGAGAGGCCUAAUUAUUUGAUACAAGGAAGCAUUUACACGAAAUUGCUAAAAGGAAGUCAGUAAGCCCCAAUAAAAGAAGGGAAGAAGAAGGAUGAGGUUACUGUGGCAGCAAGCAACCAGGACCUAGGAUUUCAAUAUCUAAAUGCAAUUAUAUCAUGUAAUUAAUGUGCUAAGCUACUUGGUAGAUUCAUAACACUAUUCUAGUACAUGUAUUCAGUAAGCUUAUUAAAUAGAUUGAGGGUAAUCCAAAACAACAAUUACUGCAUAAUCCAAAACAGCAGCUGUGUGGGAAUAUAAAAAGGAUAUGGUGUAAAUUAUAAAUAAGAAGGAAUCGCAGAAAAUAAAAUCUUCAAUUAAUAAAAUUUAUUACUAGCCAUUUCAUCAAUUCUUGAACUGUUAAAACAUAAAACCAGCACAACAAUCAUCAGUUCAUCUUGAUAAGGUAAAUGCGCUUACUAUUUGAUCAUAGGCAUCUAUUCCUUCACUGUCUAACAGUAAGAGAUUGUACUGAGUUCCAUCAAGGUCAGUUCUCUAAUGUGGCAGUUCCUUUUGUACAUGGCCGAUGAGUGGAUGCUACUUGAAAUCCACUGCUCCUGCCAAGAAGAUACAAUACACAAUUCCACCUCUUAGUUAAUAACUGACACAUGAGGUCAGUUGCAGAAAUGGAAUGUCAUAACAAUUAACUCUAAAAUAAGCUUCAACAAACAAAAUUCCAGUAGACAUUCAUUGAUAAAUCUACUAGUGUACAUCUUAGGUAAAGGAAUUGUGCAUAACAUCUUAAACCCAUCCAGUUAUAACACUUGCUAGUCUUUUAAAACAAAUCCAAGUUAAACUAUGAAAAACAGAAAGGAUAUCCAAGUUAAACUAUUAAUUUUUAAUAUUUUUUUGGCACUUGUCUUCUCAUCACAAUUUUCUUCUUCUAAGAUCUAACCUGAAAAAUUUCAAUCUUAAACAUGAUUCAUUUUGAAAUUUUAAAAUAACUAGCAUUUAAUUUAUAACAAGGAACCAACUUAUGGUUUCCAAAAACAUAAUUACUAACUUAUAAAAUCAUAAAAAAUGCAUAGACUAAAUUAUAAUUAACUGUAAUUAACAAUGGUAGCAGAUGCAGAAAAUGGUAACAGUUUGUAUAAAAACAGUAAAUGACAUGUAGAAAAAUUGCAUGAACAAAGGAAGCUGGAUGCAUUAAAUGAUAUUCCAUGUAAAUGACAUGUAGUAUAAGAGCAUAAGACCUCAAAAGGACAAAGCAUUAAGGAGACCAUAUUAAAUAAUAGUAAGAACGCAACACACCGCUUUCAUGCCAAGAAGCACCCAAAGGCUGAUUAAUUAUUGAGGAAGAUAACUUGAUGCCACGCUUAAAAACCUAAGCCAUCAUAUUGAACAAAGUCAUGUCAGGACCCAGAAAUUAAAAAAAAAAAAAGCCAAAUAACAAAGCAAGCAUUAGGUACUGUAACAAAAUGAGCAAAUAUUACAGAUUUUUAUCCAAAAUUCAAUAGCUGAAGCAUACAUAUAGAUGAGUCAUAUAGCCAGUUCCAAACUCCCUAUUAUCUCUAGAAUGCCUUUGAGUUGAAAAAAAUAAAAUAAAAAAAAUUGUUAAAUUAAGAAAAUUUUUAAAAACAGAGAAAGAAUAUUAAAAAAAUAAAUGAAAUUAAAUAGUGAAAUUACUAUAUUUCAUGUACUAAAAAAUCAUGUCCCAUUUCUUACAUUGUUUCUCUAACUUUUUUAAAUUCUCAAUGUGACUAUCAUAUUAAAAGCCUGCCACCUAAACCAUUUGGUGAUCAAUAACGUUUCCAAAUCAUGCAUGCUGACCUCAAGACAGGACAAUCAAAUGAAAACAGCAACAUAUAUAGCUAAUGUGGGAAAUUAACUGAUCACCAUGCAAGGAGGAGGCAACCAUGAAUUCUAACCUCUUUCACUACACAAUUCUGCUACUUAUAUAUAUAACAAGUAAAACAGCAAGAAAAAAAAAUAAUGAAUGAAGAAACAAAAAUGAAAAAGCAAUCUUAUUAACGAAACACAACAUCAACAAGCAAGUUUCCUUAUAUAUAUAUAAGCAUAUGAAUACAUUCAAAACACCUAGGUGUCUGCACACAGGAGGACAAAAAGACUUGCAGACAUCAAAGAACACCCAGCAUCAAUAAUACUAAUUGUUAAAAAUUAAAUUGGGGGUUUUGAUAAAUUUUUAAUUAAACAUGCAUAAUUCCCAUCAAUCACUCUCUUCCAGACACAAGAAUUGCCAGCAUUCAAUUUAUGAACCGUAACCCUAAAAAUUAAUUUGGGGGUUUUCAUAAAUUUUCACUUAAACGUGCAUAAUUAGGAUAUAAAUCAUGGUAAAAACAUUUCAUAAACCUUAUAUUUUCGAAUUAAUAGCCUAAAACCAUUAUUCACAGUAUCGGGAAAAAAAAUUCUUACCUGUGUUCUUCAGUUACAGGUGAGGGAGAUGGAUCAACACGACAGAAUAACACCUGAGAUUGGAAAAGCUAGGUUAGAACUGUUUAGUGUAACUUAAAUUGAAACAAAGAAAACAAAAACCAUAAAUUAAUUACCUGAGCUAUCGAAGAAAACAAUGCAAAACCUAACCCGUUUACAGAGAAGGGGUAAAACAGGAUGUUCGAUGGUGAUGAUGAUGGAUUUGGUGCGAUGUUGCCAUGGGUCUCUGUUUUUGUUGGUUUGCAGAGAAAUAUUGAAACUGUUAAGAUGAAGGAGAAGAAGAUGAAGAAAAAAAUAGGGUUGCUGAAGACGAGUGCGAAGAUGAUGAACAGUUUCGGGUAAAGGAAGAUGAAAUCGAUGAAGAGAGGGUGAUUGUUGAACAGUUAGGAAUCGAUGUUAUUGGGGACGAAGAAGGAUACUGGAAGAGUGGCAGUGAAUUAAUUUUCAGCGUAAAUGGUUGUUGGAUCUGUAUUUCGGUGUGGGGGGAGAGAGUGAAAAUAAACGGUUCAGAUUUUAUGCAAUCAACGGUCUACAUAAUUUUAGUUUUAUAUUAACAUUUUAUUUUUAUUUUUUCAAUUAGCAACGGAAUAUCCGUUGCUAAGUUCAACGUAAAUUUUGCAACGGAUUAUCCGUUGCUAAAGUCCGUUGCUGAUAUUAAAAAAAUAAUAUAUGUCUCAUCCGUUGCAAAUCCGUUACUGAAUUUAGCAACGGAAUUAUCCGUUGCUAAAUUCAGAUGCAAAUACCCCCUGUUUUUAGUAGUGGCUCAACUCAUGACAUCAAUCAAAUGAGGAGCUAUCAAUUCAAAUAUAUAUAUAUUAGUUCAUAUUAAGAAUUUAGAUUCAGUAAUUGAUCAUUUUUUUAUCGUAACAAAAAUAAUAAUCAACAUAUAUUAUUAAGAAGUAUGAUCCAAUUCAUAUUAACAACUCAAAUAUUUAUACUAUUUCUCAUGCAUAUGGAAAAUUAUCAACUUACCUGAUUCAAAAGUGAACAAAACUCGAAAGCAGAUACCGAAAGAAAGCUUAUUGAUGUGCUCUAGGUAGAAUAUCAUGAUUAUCUAAAUGCAAAGGAGACAUAUUCAAAAAAUACUCGAAAAGAACGUACAAUCUGUUUAAUAUACUUAACUAAAGGUCUAUUUCAUAACCCUAUAUAUUUUUGAACUAAACUAGUCAUUUUUCCCCAAAAUUAAAAAAUUAAACGGUUUUCUUGAAAUUUAAUUCAUAAAAAAACAAAUAAUAAGACUUGAUAAUAAUUAACCAAAUAACCCUCAAUUAUUUAUCAAACCAAUCUGAAAAGACUGAUAUUACAGCUAGGGACCAAUCUAGAAUUUAGCAGAUUUUUAGGGGUCAAAUUGGAGGACCAAACUGAAAAUAUCAUAAAUUCAUAACUAUACUGAAAGUUUGCCCAUAAUUCAUCCUCAAUACUGUCCAGAAUCUAUAAUUAUGCUAGAAUUUUUAUUAAAAUUUUAGCAGUCAAAUUGUAUUUUUCUCAAAUUAAAGGACCAAACUGAAAAUGUCAUAAAUUCAUAACUAUACUGGAAUCUUGCCCAUAAUUCAUCCUCAAUUCUGUCUAGAAUCUCUAAUUAUGCUCCAGAGACCAUUUUAUAAAUUUUCAAAGUUUGGGGACUAAACUGUAAUUUUCACAAAUUAAGAGGCCAAAUUGAAAUUUCAUCAUCUUCAACCUCAAACCCAAAUUUUUCCAUAGAUCCUUACUGAUUUACCAAAAUCACUAACUCAAAUUCAUCAUUUAAACAUACCACAAUUCAAAAUCAUCAUCUCUAUCUAAAAUCUUUCAAAAUCAACUAAAUAACUCAUUACCCAUAACAAUUAACUCAUAAUAUUCAAAUCAAUUCAUCAAUCAACCCAAAACAAAAUCUUCAAAACCCUAAUUUUCAACAAAACAGUAAAUCAAAUAAAAAAAAUACAUUUAUACACAUCAAAACAUAAAUAUUACAUUUUAAACUUAUUUUCUCUAACUCUAUUCUCCUUCAUUUAUCUUUCUCUCCUUCCUCUUCUUUUUCUUCUUUCCCUUUUCUUCUCUCCUGCCAGUUUUCACUCUCAAAUUUCAGAUCCCUCUUUUUUUUUUUUUUUCUAUUUAUACUUAGCAAGAUUUUAUUCAAUUACCAAAAUACUUUUUAUUCAUUUAUAUUUACUUUUAAACCUUCAAACGCUUUGUUGCCUGGAACUUUGAAUAUUGGGAAAUCUGGCAUUUCUUCCAUUCCAAGCAAGCUAAUGACUAAGGGAAAGCAUCUUUCUGCAAUUUCUAUUUCCAUUGAACACCAUAAUCUCUUGGCAGCAGGAUGGAUGAAAAAAUAAAUCAUCUGUAUCAAUGCUCUCCUCAUGACUACUUGGAACACCUUGCUUAAGACAUCAGGAGAUCAAGAUAUUUAAUAUGAAAUUCAACACAAGCUGAUGAUCCCAGUUCUUUGCCAAAAGCAAAUAGUAACAGCAAAGUCAUUAGCCGAAUUGCUCCUCGGCAACAUCACUGUCAUGAUAAUUGCAUAUGUUCGAUCUAACAGUAGAAUCAAUGGUUGAAACAGUAUAAUGUACGUAAACAUGUUGAAUAGUUAGUGUGAAUAAAUAAAGCAGGUGAUUCAUGAAAGUGACAUAAAAUUUGUAUGGGCAGUGGGAGUAAUAAUUACAUAUUGAACAAAUAAAGCCCCUUUACAUGGUGGUUCUCAGGAGACGGUGGAAGUAAUAAUUGCAUAUUGGACAAUGAAAGCACAAAAGAAUUUGCAUGGUGCUUUCCAGAAAAUAGAGUGAUAAUUGCAUAUAGGACAGAGAAAGCAAAGGGAUUUGCCCUAUUGUUUUAUUUCUUUAGAGUAAACGGGUAAUUAUGUAGUCCUCCUUCAUGUUAAUCAAUUAAUUGCCUGUGCUUUCCUUCACGAGAUCAGCUGUUACUGACAGACUAAAAAUAAGUUUGCAGUACUGAUUAAAUUAAAACAACAAAAUAGGAUUGUUCCUUUUUUAUGCUGAUAUAGGAAAUGCGUAAUUUUCCCAAGUAGAGUUUCCUAAGUAGCAUAUGUUUAUCCAUGCUAGCAGCUGACCCGAGUAGUACUGUUAUUUCUGGCCAAGUGAUUUUCUUUGGAGUUUCGAUCUUCAUUAAUUGUUCUGGCUUUUUAUUUUAAAAAGUACAUAACACUGUUGUUUUAGCAUCUAACAGUAGACUCAAGGAUUUGAAGCAGUGUAAUGUGAACACGUUGAAUAGUUAGUGUGAAUAAAUAAAGCAGAAAGUGGCAUAAAGUUUGCAUAGAGGCCAAAGAAAGCACAGGCAGAAAGUGACAUAAAGUUUUAGCUUCCUGCCAAUUUCGAUCUAUUGCAAUGACUUUAAUAGCUAGUCUUCCACUAAGAGAGAUCUCUCUCAGUAUACCAUUGAUUUCCUAAUUUUCCUCACCAAAUUUCUUAAACCUUUCUCAUGAUCUGAGCUUCCUUUUCUGAUUGAAUUGAAUCAUCUCGUUUUGAGUUCUUCAUCUGUAUCUUUCUUGCUUGAAAGGUAAAUCCUACUUUCUUUUCUUGUUUUCUACCACUAAUUUUGUUUCAAAUAAGAUUUUCCCAUUUGGUUGUAGAAUAAAUAAGUAGGAUUGUAGAUUGAUCAAUCAAGUAGAGCUUAAUUGUAUAUCUGUUGCUUGAUCUAUUUUAGAACUCAAAACUCAUAUUUAGCUUUGUUUUUACAUGUUCAUAUUGCCAUCAACUUAAACUAUUUAUCUUGAAAACAGCUGCUCUCAAGGUUUCUUUUGUCUGUUGAGUGCCUCUUGUCAGCUUGACAGGUGACUAGUUUGACUACUCUUUCUCAUAUUCUUGUGCUUACAUUUUCAGAUCAGCUUUCCCAGAGUUUCAACAUUGGGGUGCGUCCAAACGUUUCCUCACUCAGCAAUUAGCUUCAGAUUCUCUUGUUAAAAUUCUUUCGAAUCCAGGUAAAGUAUUUAUAUGUCACGACCCGAAUCUUCUUCAUUUUGUUGCUGUUUUUGUUUUUGACAAGUAACUAUAGUUUGAAUCUUUUUAAGUAAAACACAAGUUGUACAACUUUUAUUGAGAAACUUUGGAUUUUGUAUCAUCAAUAGUUUCCAAAUAUAAAUAAAUUGAUCUUUCUUAGUUUUUAUAAAUAAAUUGCCUUAUGGAGUUCAUACCAAAUUCAUUUUUUUUUCUUUUUAUAUUCUUUGCUGUUUUUAACUUAUUAUUUUAGUUUCAACCUUUCCUUUUCCGAUCGGUAUUACUUACAUUAAUUUUAUUCAAUGUUUUGACUCUGUUUUUAUAUAUAGGGCAAAAUGGUUCAAUCAAACGACCCAUUUUGGCAACAUGUUGAGGAGAUGAAGUGCAUGUAUUGCGGGCGUCAAUUUGCUAAGGAUACUUCCAUUUCAAGGAUCAAAUGGCAUUUAUCAGGAGAGAAAGGGAAUGGUGUUGCAAUUUGUAGAGAAGUGCCUAAACAAGUUCAGGAAGCAGCUUUUCAAGCUAUGCGUGGUGGCAACAAAAGACAUAAAAGCAUAGCAAGUUCAAGCAAUGUUAAUGAUAAUGCCAUUUCCACCAAUCCACAAGAACAAAACAAUGAAGUCGACAAUUUGGCAGGAGAUGCAGGAAGGACACAAGCACCAGAUACAAUGGGUCAAGCACUUGAAUUAAGUUGGGUUGAGAUCAAUGAAAUGUUAAUGGAGGAUGAUAUAGAGAAUGGGACUGGAGGAGUAGUGCAGCCUGGUGGAGGAGCUAGCUCUUCUGGAGGGCUUACAGGCAACACAAAUGAGACUCCAGGAGAUCCAUUACCUACUAGCUCUACAAAGCUAGUGGGUCGAGCAUUUGAACAGAAUACAAAUCUGAUAUGGUCUUGGUUGAAGGAUGAUGAAGUCUCAACCAUUGGCAUUUACGGAAUGGGAGGAGUCGGUAAAACAGCAAUGCUGCAACAUAUUCAUAAUGAGCUUCUAGAAAGACGAGACAUUUCUCAUUGUGUUUACUGGGUGACUGUGUCUCAAAAUUUCAACAUUAAAAGAUUGCAAACUUGUAUUGCUAAAUGUCUUGGCUUCAAUCUUUCAAGUGAAGAUGACGAACUGCAUAGAGCUCGCAAAUUGUUAAAAGAACUAAGGAAGAAACAAAAAUGGAUUCUCAUUUUAGAUGAUUUGUGGUACACUUUUAAUCUACACGAAGUAGGAAUUCCUGUGCUAGUCGAUCUGAAAGGUUGCAAGCUAAUUAUCACAAGUCGAUCUGAAAGGGUUUGUCAAUGGAUGGAUAGACGAAGUGAAAUCAAAGUGAAGCCACUUUCGGAGAAUGAAGCUUGGGAUUUGUUCAAGGAGAAACUUGGACGUGACAUAUCACUUACUCCAAAAGUGGAACGAAUUGCAGUAGAUAUUGCAAGGGAAUGUGAUGGUUUGCCAUUGGGUAUUAUUACAAUAGCAGGAAGCUUGAGGAGGGUGGAUGACCUACAUGAGUGGAGGAAUACAUUGAAAAAAUUGAAAGAAUCAAAAUGUAAGGACAUGGAAGAUAAGGUAUUCCGGUUGUUGAGGUUUAGUUAUGACCAGUUACAUGAUUUAGCAGCACUACAACAGUGUCUCUUAUUCUGUGCAUUAUUUCCUGAAGAUCAUAAGAUUGGAAGGAAGGGGUUGAUAGAUAAUUUGAUCGAUGAGGGGAUAAUUGAAAGAAUGGAGAGCAGGCAAGAAGCAGUUGACGAGGGCCACUCGAUGCUUAAUAGACUUGAAAGUGUCUGCUUAUUGGAAAGCGCAAAGAAAGGGUAUGGUGGUUAUAGUUAUGUGAAGAUGCAUGACUUGAUUAGAGACAUGGCCAUCCAAACACUGCAAGAAAACUCUCAAUGCAUGGUUAAAGCUGGUGCACGAUUAAGCGAAUUGCCGGAUGCAGAGGAGUGGACAGAGAAUCUUACUAGAGUUUCACUGAUGCAGAACCAGAUUGAAGAAAUUCCUUCCACGCAUUCACCGAGGUGUCCCAGCCUUUCAACUCUACUGUUACGCUACAAUUCAGAGUUGCAAUUUAUAGCAGAUUCAUUUUUUGAGCAGUUGCAUGGGCUCAAGGUUCUUGAUCUGUCUUAUACAGGUAUCACAAAACUACCUGAUUCUGUCUCUGAAUUGGUGAGUCUCACUGCAUUACUGCUCAUUGAUUGUAAGAUGUUAAGGCAUGUACCGUCAUUAGAAAAGCUCAGGGCACUGAAGAGGUUAGAUCUCUCUGGUACUUGGGCACUUGAAAAGAUGCCUCAAGGCAUGGAAUGUCUAUGCAACCUGAGGUAUCUUAGAAUGAAUGGAUGUGGUGAAAAGGAGUUUCCUAGUGGGUUGUUACCUAAGCUCUCUCACCUGCAAGUCUUUGUAUUGGAGGAUUGGAUUCCUUUUGGUACCAAAGAUAAUAGAAGAGAACAACCUGUUCUGAUAACAGUUAAUGGUAAGGAAGUGGGAUGCUUGAGGAAGUUGGAAAGUUUGGAAUGCCAUUUUGAAGGUUACUCAGACUACGUGGAGUAUCUCAACUCUCGGGAUGAAACCAAAUCACUAAGCAGAUACAAAAUUCGCGUAGGACUACUACUGUAUACGUCUUCUUAUGGUUGUUAUAAUGGAUGCAGAAGGAAAACAAUUGUUUGGGGUAACUUGAGUAUCGACAGAGAUGGAGAUUUUCAGGUCAUGUUCCCAAAGGACAUUCAACAACUGACCAUUCAUAAUAAUGAUGAUGCAACAAGUUUAUGCGAUUUUUGGUCUCUAAUAAAGAAUGCAACUGAACUGGAGGCUAUCAAGAUUAGUGAUUGCAGUAGCAUGGAGAGCUUGUUUUCAUCUUCUUGGUUCUGCUCUGCUCCACCACUGGAGAGCCUGGUUUCAUCUUCUUGGUUCUGCUCUGCUCCACCACCAUCUCCAUCUUAUAGUGGAAUAUUUUUUGGUCUUAAAGAGUUUAGUUGUUAUGAAUGUAAGAGCAUGAAGAAGUUGUUCCCUCUUGUCUUGCUGCCAAGCCUCGUAAACCUGGAACGCAUUAUAGUUGGUAUCUGUGAGAAAAUGGAGGAGAUAAUAAGUGGAACAAGAUCAGAUGAAGAAGGGGUUAUGGGUGAAGAAAGCAGCACCGAUCUCAAACUCCCCAAGUUAAGAUCUCUGCAAUUGACGGGAUUACCAGAACUGAAAAGCAUUUGCAGUGCAAAACUGAUUUGCGAUUCUCUCGAAUACAUUCAAGUAAGGAAUUGUGAGAAGCUGAGGACGAUGGGAAUUUGUCUUCCGUUGCUUGAUAAUGGCGAGCCAUCUCCUCCCCCUUCUCUCAGAGAAAUCGAUGCAACGCGAAAAUGGUGGGAGUCAGUAGUGGAGUGGGAGCAUCCUAACGCGAAGGAUGUCCUUCGUCCCUUUGUAAGUUUUGAGGUAUGAUAUGAGUCUGCCCUUAAUAUAAUAUAAUAAAAUAUUGAAUUAAGUUCAGGUGCUUACUGGUUUUAUACUUUGAUUAUAUAAAUAUAAUAAAAUAUCGAAUUAAGUUUAGGUGUUUGGAAAUGGUUAUGCAGGCUACGGAGCUACUUCGGAAAUUGGCUCAGGCUCAGGCUCUGCAGGCUCAGUUGAAGAAGAAGAUUAAUAAAGUAUCGAAUUAAUUUUGCUGCUGCUACUUCCGUUUCGAGGAUCAAAUGGCAUUUGUCUCAAGUCAGGGGGCGUGGUGUUACAAUUUGUAGUAAAGUGCCUGAAGACGUUCAAGAAGCAGCUUUACAAGUCCUUUUUUAUAUGAAGCUGUGUGUGUAGGUUAGCAAAAUUACUACCAAAUCCUUUUUUAUAUGAAGGUUGUUGGUGUUUUUAGAAGGGUGAAAUAAUUAUUUUAUUGUUAUAAUCUACAAUAAAUUGUGUCUUUGUAUACAUUAUGAGCUUUUUUUUUUUUUUUUUUUUUGUAAUUCUGUUAAUUGUGUCUUGGUGUACUUUAGGCUCAAAAUUAGGUGUGAAUCAAAUGAAUCAUCAUAUUUUGAAAGUCACCGUGGAGCCCCUUCCCUAUUUUCUUUAUUAAAUGUUUUUUCUUUCUUUUGUUAGACGUGAUUUCGAAACAAUUCAUUAGACAAUUACUACUAAUUAGUCCUUUUUUUUUUUCCAUUGUGAUUACAACAAAAUUUUAGUAGAGUUUUGUAUGUAUUUACAAUAUUUCAAGCUAUUAUAGUUCAAAAUAAAUAUAAUCCAAUCUAAAUUCUAACAAUUCAAUGCAGAACAUUUGUUAAUACCUUUACCCGUGGAUUCAUACUUAUAUAUAUAUAUAUAUAUAUAUAUAUAUAUAUAGAAUUGCAUUCAUUAGACAAUUACUACCAAGACCCUCUUUUUGGUUGUGACAUUAUAUAUAUAGAACUCAUUCCCAGGAUGAAUAAAAUUUCAAAGUUUGAUAAUGAGCUAAAAAAUAAUACAUUAUCUUUUCCUUGCAUUACUUGUAAUCAGUCCAAAAAACUCAAAUUACAACCCUAAAGCGUAAAGCAUGGUGGUAAUUGGGCUGAGAGAGCGGUGCCUAAGAGUCAGUAGUGGAGUGGGAGCAUCCUAACGCCUUCGUUUCUUUGUACUUUUUAAAUAGAGGAUGAGUGACGCAGUGCUCUUAAUAUAAUAUUAAAUUAAGAGUAAGCAUUGUGGUUUUAAUUGGAUUAAGCUUAAGCUAUGUGUCAACAAUCUUAUGAAUAGUAAUUGUGUUUCAAUCUUAUUAAAUUACCAACCAUUUUAUCCACUUCUUUUAAUUUAAUCCUUUUUUUUUCAAUCUUAUAUGGGCUCAUUAAAUUUAAAGUAAUUGUGUUUUAAUUCAGUGAGUCUACAUUAAAAUGCAAGCGCAUGAAUAGUGUUUUGGUUCUGCCACAAGCGUAUUGAAUUUCCUAUAAUAAUUAGAAUAUAAUAUAUAGUUUUAACCCGCAUUUUACCACUUAAGUAAACACCAUUUAACAAUAAUAUAAACUAUUUGCAAUUAAUAAAAGGGACUGGGUCCAUUUGGUCCCAGGAAAGAGCCCCAAUAAGAAAACAAUAAAAGCCCAGGCCCAUAAACAUUUGACCCAGGGAAGAUCUACAGUGACACAGUGGUUGAUAAACAACCACAUUAUUAACACAGUUGAAAGUUACGGUAAUUCGUAUGCCAUAGCCAUUAUAACAAUCAAUGAAUAUAGCAUGUCACCGAAGCAAAAAUCCUUUUCUUUUUAAUGAAUUUUGACCAUUUUUAUGCCCGAGGUUGAUUUAAAAAAAAAAAUAUCAGUGAUCUGAUAUUUGGUAUUAUGAUGUUGAUAAAGUAUUUUUUAUAUAUUAAAAUAAUAUAUUAUUUAUUUUUAAAAUUUAUUUUUAUAUAUUAAUACGAUCUAAAAAAUAUAAUAAAAAUUAAUUUUAAAAAAUUGAUUUUUUUACAAAAAUCGCCAAACAUGCUAUUUUGUGAAGCAAGUUUGAGUUCGUACUUAGAGGUUUCUUUUUCUCUAUCCUUUCUCUACACACACUUAACUUCUAAACAAUGCAUUUGAAAAACUUAAAAAUCAGAGAAUAUUAACCUUCAGAUGAUUAAUUAAAUGUAAACUUAAAUACGAGCUGAAAUUCCAUGAUCUUCCCAUUUUCUCUGAUUAAUUUUAUCAGUGGCAAAAAGGGUGCAUGAAGUCCCCAUAAUUACAGCUUAAUGCACGUGAAGCUGGUCCCCGUAGCCUCUCUCUUUUCUCUGAUAUUACUCAAUAUUAUGCUUAAUGUCAUCUCUCUUCAGUGUUUUCUCCUCAAUGCAUUGACAGGAAAGGUGCCUGCAGAACUUGCCAAGUUGGUCAACCUGACAGAUAUGUAAGCAGACACUUUUUCUUUUUUUGUGCGUCUCUUAAUUGAAUCACAGGUCUACGAACCAAAAAACGAUAAAAAAAAAACAGAUAUGCAAUCAGCCUCUCUUACCACAGGAAAUGUUGCUGAUUUUGAUGCCAAAAAGUCUCACAUAUUAACUCUUAACAUGCCCGGAUUGUUUCGAUCUUUCAAUCUUCAAUGCUGAUAAUUCAACCAUGCACAUGGAUCAAAUUCAGUGGAAAUAAUGUUAUUGCAAUUCUUCAAAUAUUGUUUUUCACGUGUAUGUUCUUCAUCUUUUUAUCAAAAUUUUAUGCUCAACAAUAAUACUUUCAGUAAACUCUUGAGUUUGUAUUUCUUUGACACCUUUUAGGAGGAUGAAUGAUGAUAAUUUAUCAGGGAAAUUACCUGCUUUUUUCAGUAAGUGAACACAGGUUCAGAAUAUCUGUACCUUCUAGCAUUGUUUCCUUGACCAGACUAAGGAAGUGAUUAGUAACCAAACAGAAUAUCUGAAUUCUGUUUUUAUGUACAUGUAAUAUGCUUAUGAUACCAUGCUUUUAUGCUCUAUGAUACUUGAAGGAGGAUCAGUGACUUAACAGGAAGAGGGUCUUAUUACCCACCACUGAGUAAUAUGGAAUCCAUAAAACAUUGUGAGUUGGAGUUCUUCUAAUCUUAUGUCCUUUUCAGCUAAUGCUCUUGACCUUUGAUUUGUACAAUGAUUUUAAAAAUGCAGGGUUUUGAGGAACUGCUUAAUAUUUGGAUAGGCCCCAGACUAUGUUGGGGAGCUGGAAAAACUGAAAUGUUUGUAAGUGGUUCCAUCCAGAGGCUCCCUAAUGAUUCCCUUUCAAAGCAAUCAUUGUCAAUAUGAUUAUCAUUUGCUUUCUUAAGAAAUGUUCUUGAGAGUUUCCAUGAUGUUUUGUGUACCACUAAACAUUAUGAGAUGAAAUUCUGUGAAAUGGCUUGUUCUCAAGGACUCCAAUUACUCUUCAAUGGCCUUGGAAAGGGCCAGAUAGGCUCUCUCUCACAGGCUCAUCAUUGUCUUACAGCGCAAUCAUACAAGAUUUUCUGUUUGAAUCAAUUUUAUCUUAGAAAACGAUUUGAUUGUCUUUAAGCUUUCAGUUGAAAGUGCAAUUAAGAGCUACGGAAAACCCCUUUUAAUUUGUCGACGUACUUGACAGGAAACAAGUUCACUAGAUCUGUUCCUCAAUGGCUUCUGAAAAGAAACAAGAAUGUGCAUGUCGAUUUCCGCCAGAUUUAUUUUCAACUUGGAGUUCUGCUGCAACCCAAAGAAUUCCUGUUUCAAAUGUGCAAGAGGUCAAAUGUUCUCCAUAAAAUUGCUUAGGUUUUAUAUGUAGAACAGAAAACAAAGAAAACAGAGCAAAUUAUUAAUUCUUAGCCAUGAGUUUGAGGAUGGAACUUUUCAUUGUUGAAGGAAACCAAUUAAAGCUUGUGUACAAUUGCCUGUCCCGUGCUCUAUUUGUUGAGUUUAUUUCUUCCAUUCAUCAGAAGCAUUUCUUUUUGAGUUAUUGCUUUGGAAAUUGUCAGUAAGAGCAACACAAACUACAGGCCAAAGGAGGAGUUUGUUUACUGUUGGGUUGGUUGUCAUUAAUGUGCAACAACCAUUGACAAUUGCAGCAGCUGCAGCUGGAGUUGCACCAACCAUGUGCACUCAUCCAAGAUGUCAAAGGUUGGCAGCCACCAUUGUUGAAGAAGAGCUGGAGGAGCUGCCAUGGAUGCCUAUAAAUAGAGGCAUACAUUAGAGAGCAAGAUGAGAGAGUUAAGAGAGAGUGUGUAGAGCCAAAGAUGUGAGAAAUGUAGGAGAGAAUGGGCUGCCAAGGCAGCCAGCAGUAGCUGUCAUUGCAGCACUAAGAAGAGAGAAAUAGAGUGAGGUUGAGAGUUGCCAAAGAGGGGAUGAUUCCUCCUUCUCUAUUGUUGUAAAUCUUGUACUCUCCCUAUAUAAUGUAAUGGCUUCUCCCGUGGAUGUAGGCGGUUUGCCGAACCACGUUAAAUAUUGUGUCUGUGUGCUUAGCCUCCAAUGGGCAAAUAUCAGAACAUCACCGGUCGGAAUUCCCUACAAUUGCCUGAUGAACGGCACAAAGGAACAGUUGAGUUCCGUAUGUUCAAGGAUCUGAUGGAGUGGUGAUUUCUCCAAAGAAGUUAGAUUCGGUGACUGUAAUUUCUCGAAGGGAGAAUUAAUGAAGACCCUGAUAAUGGAAGAGAAAUACAGCAAGGGGAUAAAGAUUGGCACCCUAUUUUGACUUGGAUAAAUGUUGUGACAGGAUGAGCUGCUGUCAAACAUAAAAGCAAAGAAUAGGGAGAAAUCUGGAGAACCGAAAUUGCACGAGAGCACACGGAGAUUGUGCAGGAGUACCCGAAGGAUCCAACGAGGUACUGUAAUGAGACGAUAGGUGCAAGGAGAAGAAGAGUUCCCAGAUGAAGCUCAGAGAUUAUAGUUGAAGAGAUUAUAGUUGAAGACUGUGAGAAGAUGGAGGAGAUAAUAGGUGGAACAAGACCAGAUGAAGAGGGGGUUAUGGGUGAAGAAACCAGCAGCAGCAAUAUCGAAUUCAAACUGCCAAAGUUAAGAAAUAUGAAAUUGAGACGAUUACCAGAACUGAAAAGCAUUUGUAGUGCAAAAUUGAUUUGCGAUUCUAUCGAAGUAAUUGAAGUAGAAAAUUGCGAGAAGAUAGAGGAGAUAAUAAGUGGAACAAGAUCAGAUGAAGAAGGGGUUAAGGGUGAAGAAAGCAGUAGCAGCGAAUUCAAACUCCCAAAGUUGAAAUUGUUGGUAUUGACGGGAUUACCAGGACUGAAAAGCAUUUGUAGUGCAAAAUUGAUUUGCGAUUCUAUCGAAAGAAUUGAAGUAAGAAAUUGCGAGAAGAUAGAGGAGAUAAUAAGUGGAACAAGAUCAGAUGAAGAAGGGGUUAUGGGUGAAGAAAGCAGUAGCAGCGAAUUCAAACUCCCAAAGUU